rnacentral:lncRNA from 1 species
CUAACCCCCCUUCUUUCACUUUUUUCAAUCUCUCCUUUCACUUCGGUUUUCUGAGUUGGUGUUUUGCCGAUUUCUCCAUGUUUUCUGUGCUUCUUUGUGUGGUGUCUCCUUUCACUUCGGUUUUCUGAGUUGGUGUUUUGCCGAUUUCUCCAUGUUUUCUGUGCUUCUUUGUGUGGUGUCUCCUUUCACUUCGGUUUUCUGAGUUGGUGUUUUGCCGAUUUCUCCAUGUUUUCUGUGCUUCUUUGUGUGGUGUCUCCUUUCACUUCGGUUUUCUGAGUUGGUGUUUUGCCGAUUUCUCCAUGUUUUCUGUGCUUCUUUGUGUGGUGUCUCCUUUCACUUCGGUUUUCUGAGUUGGUGUUUUGCCGAUUUCUCCAUGUUUUCUGUGCUUCUUUGUGUUGUGACUCAUUUUUCUAGAAAUUUUCAGUUCAAUCGUUGUCAAAUUCUUCUUCUUUUUCUUCUCAACUUAUUUUAUUUUUAGGGUUGUUCAAAAACAUCAUUAGAAACUUGUCGCCUCUCCAUCUUGUAAAGUUUUAAGAAUGAAAUUCUUGAAUUCGUUGGAUGUUGUUGAUAUAUAUAUACAUAUAUGUAUAGAAAAAUGUUAAAAUAAUUCACUCAUUUACUAAAUUGAUUCAUUGUAUUGUAACCAUCAUUAGAAAAAUGGAUCACCUCCAAAAGCCAUCAUUACAAUCAUGGCCUUCAUCACUACUUUCCUUCUCCCAAGCCUUCUUUAUUCCAAAAAAUCCCCCCUCCCCCUCUCCCUUUCCAUGUUUUCAGCUUUCAUCUGCACUCUCUUCAUUCUUUUCCUUUCCAAUUGUGUAAGUCUCAAUCUAGAGUUCUUCUCAACAAUAUUUUGAGAGCUGUACAUCUACCUCUUUUGUACUUAGCUUACUUGUCAUGCCUAGUGCUAUAUUGUUGUCACUCUCCUAUCCCUUCAUUUUUCUAAAGAAGCUGCUAAUUUAAUUAACAUUCUUUUUGUUGUAUCAAUUAUUAUUAUGUGGUUCAAUUUGACUUCUUUUUUUCUUUUCUUUUCUUUUAUUAGUAUUUUUUUUUUUUUGCCAUGAAUAGAGACUUCAAUUUUUUAUCAUGAUUUAUAUGGACUUUUUUGGUUAAAUGUAGUUACUUUGGAAUUGGGAUUAUCUUUGUAUUUGGAAGUAGUUAUUUAUAUAUUAUAUAAGCAUCUUUUAUUUAGAAGGUGUAUUGUGACAAGAUAAGUCUAAUUGUUGCAUUGUGUUUGAUUUUAUAUGUGAAUAUGAUUCUUACAUGUCAUGUGGAAUUUUUGAGUGAAAUUCUUUUGAUUUGAUAUCUUCUUAUGGUGUUCAUGAGAGUGAUUUGGAUUGGACUCUUUGUUGAUUUUGUUAUGUAUUUGUCUUGAAUUAAUAUCUUUAAACAUAACUCUACAAAGUCAUAUUUGUGAAGUUGUCAAUUUGGUUGUAUGUUUAGUUUGUAGGUUGUCACAUCUUGAUAAAUAGCAAUGUGGAUGCAAGUUUGAUGUAUGUUGUGAGUCCUCUAAAGCUUGAAUUUUGGAUAAGUAUCUUUUUUCAUCUUAUCAAUGUAUAAUUGACUACAACUCAAUCUUAGCAUUAUAAUCCUUCUUGAGUUUAAUAAACUCAAAAUAUUAUGAGAUCAAUUCAAUAUGAGAGUUGUCUAUAGUUUAAGUUUACAUUUUCUAUUGCUACUAAAUAAAAAUAAAAAUUCUACCUAUGCAAUCUAACACUACAAUUCAACUAGGAUCUUAGUUCCAUCUUACCACCCCAAGAACUUUAAAUGCUCCUUCCAAGUUUCACAAAAACUCUUUAAGACUUAAAAACCUCGUAAAAGCUUCACAUAAAGAAUCAAGUCUACAUCUUACAAUUAAGACCUCUUCCAUAAUUCUAUGUUCCCUUUGGAAAUGAGGAAUGCUUUCUUAGAACACCUUACAAUUGUCCUUCUAAGAUUCUUUACAAAUUCGAUGAGCUACUAAUUCUUCGAUCUUGCUACUCUUGAUUUAAGGAGAAAAGCCUUAUCAUGGUUGUCACUCAGACAUGCACGCCAAUGAUAUUAUAUGUGCUUUUGGAUCCAACAAAUUUGAAUGUACAUUGUAAAGACUUCACUGAGAGCUUAUAUAGAAUAAAUAAGUUUCAUGAAGAACUUUUGACUAAGGUUCAUACAAUUGGAAAUGAAAUAAAUGAAAGGGAUUAGCAUGAGAGUUAAGAAUGGAAGGAAGUAGGGGGAUGGAUUUUAGAAUAAAAAAAACUAGCAAUGAAAAAAACAAAAGUUCAGAAUAAAGGGCGUUGAAAUGAUGGCUAUAAUUAUAAUAAUGGUUUUUGGAGAUGAUCCAUUUUUUUUAAUGAUGGUUACAAUAAGAUAAGUUGAUUUAAUAAAUGAAUGGAUUAUUUUAAUAAUUUUUUAUAUAUACUUAUAAGUUUUUUUAUGUAAUAAUAUUGAAAGAUUUAUGAUAUCUAGAUUUGAGUAGAUUUUUGUUAAAUGAAAUUUUUGAAAGAUAUUUGAGAAUUAUUGAAAAUCAACCUAUUCCAAGAUGCCACCAAGAAGGUAGAGAGAAAAUUUUCUUAAUUAAAAUAAAUUAAAUAUAUUAUUUUUAUUUAUUUUAUAUUAUGAAUCAUAUUAUCUAUUCAUCUUUUAAAUUCAAAUAUAUUAUAUAUUUAAAUAUGUGCUUACAAGACCAUAUACAAAUAUUGAGUAGGUUAAAAUUGAAUUGUAAUAUAUAUAUAUAUAUAUAUAUAUAUAUAUAAAAUAUAAAAUUUUAAAAUAAUAUAAAUACAAAAAUAUAUUCAAUCUUGUAUGCAUUUUUGUAUUUAUAAGCUUAAAACUUAUUAUCUAAGAUUUGGAAAAGAACUUCAUAUAAAAACUUACUAUGAAGUUUUAAUGAUUUUUGAAAUAAAUAUAAAUAAGUUAAAAAAUAUUCUAGAAGUUUUAAAAUAUUAUUAUUAAUUUGAUUUUAAAUUUGAUGUAAAGAAGUUACACACAUGUUAUUAUAAAAAAAAUUUCUUAUAAUAAUAAACAUCAAAAAUAUUUACUCAAAUAUGUAUUAUUGAGUAUUUUUUCCAAAUUUAAAUACACCAUAAAUAUACUCUAUGUGAGAUAUUUAAUUUUGAUUUUUAAAAUUUAAAAUUUAGAUAAAUCUUUGUUCAUAUUGACUAAAUUAUCUAUUGAUGAGCAUUAUAUGAUUUUCUUAGAAUUAAAAAUUUCAAAACAUGUUGAUAUAUAAAUUCUAGAAUAAAAAUUUCUUUAAGCGCUAAAUUCUACAAAAGUUUAAAGAGUGCUAUGCCACAUUUGUUUUGAUAGAUGUUGUAAGUAUGGCAAUCAACCUAAAGUUUUUGUUUUUAAAUUUUUUUUUAUAUAGAUUUUUUUAUUAUUUAAAAAAUUAAAUAAAUAAAAUAUUUUUUAAAAAAUAUUUUUAUUAAUUAAUAUUUUUUAUUUUUUACUUUUUUUCUAUAUAAAAAAUUUAUUUUUAUGUUAUAAAAAGAAAAUCAUUCAAAGACAUGAAUCACAAAGAACAAAGAAUCAAUAUAUUCUUGUGUUACUAUAAAAGAGUAGAUAAUAACUCAAAAAUAGUAUAAUAUUAAGACUAUAAUAACUAUUGUUAAAUAUAAAGCAUUGGCAAGAGUGAAAAAGACCUCACUCUUGCCUCCAUAUAUACUAACUAGGAUCUAUGGGGCAACAUUCUACAUGACCUUUGAUAUAUGCUUAUCUUGCAAAACACAUGUCUAACUUGCAAGAUAAGUUUCCUAAAUGUGUGCCACAUAGCUAACUUGUACCAUAAGUCAUCAACAUGUGCAAUACUUGGCUAACUUGUUGGCCAAGUUUUUAACCUACCAAUCACCUAUAAUUAUGUAAAAAGUUGAAUUUGCAUCUAUAAAGAUUCUAAAAAGUUUUUCCACAAGAUUUUAUCAAUUUUAUUUACUUCUAUUUAAUUCUAUCUAAUUCCUUUAAUCUAUGUAAAUAUGUAUGUCCAUGACACUUGUUAAAUAAGCACUUACAAAAUACAUCCAAAGAUAUUUUAGAUUUUUUGAAUAUGUAAUUUUAGAAAAAUAUUCUAUAGUACAAAAGGUUUUAAAAGUAAACAAAAAAGCAUUGUUCAUGAUAUAAUUUUAUUGUUUUGCAAGAUUUUAAUAAUAAAUCUACAAAAAAUAAAUCUAUGUGAAAUACAUAAAACACCAAGAAUACGAGAGUCCUGGGAGGACACCCACACAGAAGUUCGUCCGCCACGUCACACCCAUCGGAAAGGGAGUCUCAAACCCAGCCAAGCCAGGGCCGGAAGGAGGGAGAGAGAGCGGGACCCAUCCACGCUGGCCUAACUCGGAGUGAGCGGAGCGAAGGGACGCAAAUCCAGUCACUUGUCGUGGCGGCCACGUUGGCAAGCCACGUCAACCGGGAGCUUGAGAAAACGCAUGUGUGAAAGGGAAGACGAAAGAGGAGUGGUUGGGGAGGGUAGCACCCAAGCCCGUGGAAGACAAUGGAGGGCGAAAAGGAGGGAUCACCCAAACCCGUGGAAGGCAAGGCAAGGCGAAGAAGAGGGAGGUGAAUGCAAGAGUGAGAGAGAGUGAGCCAUGGCGGCUCUUCCCUUUCCUUUUACUUUCCUUCCUGAAACCUUAUCCCGAUGGGAGGGAGUUUGCUUUUUAUUGCUUCCUGCUACUAUUGCUCGCUCGCCGCAGAGGGCGACGCUCUUAGGCGCCACAAGUCUCUGCGCUACGUAAACGCAAUUGGGUCCAAACCAAAACCAGGCUCUACCGACGCCUUAUGGCUACUACUACUACUACCACGAUCACAACUCUGCCUUGAAACUGUUACUCGCCAUCGUGCCUCUAUUGCCGAGGGAGGAAUCAUCAAAACCAAAACCUCUGAAAAGAUAUGGCAGUUCUGAGGUCAGGGCUCUUUCUCGCACCUCCAGCGUCGCUCUCCUCACACAGCGCCGGCGCCAUUCGAGAUGACUCUGGACGGACAAGUGUUUCCUACUGCGGAGGAUGCUUGAGUGGCAACGCCGGAGAUGUGAGUGAGAGGUUGAAUCCUGGUGGGUUGAUUAUUGGGAAUGGCGCUUGUAGUCGAGGUAGGCUCGUGGUUGUUGGUAGAGCCGGUGGGUCUCGUCCUGCUGCGGGGGCCAGACGGCCGCGCCCGCAACCGAACAGGCGUUCCGGAGCGAAGGAGCCUCAGGAUGAGGGUGGACCGCUGCUUAAUGGCGACAUCAGGUGGGUUUUUGGUUGCCGUGCACGCUUGGUUGCUUGUGAGUGGCAGCUGUGUGCAAGUUUCUUUUGGUUUGGUGUGCAACGAGGGGGACAUUUGCAGUCAAUUCCGAUCCUACUUCUCACAAUUAGGAUGGAUUACAAUGCAGAGUUCCCUCUGUUAGGCUCCUCGACGAAGAACAGAACAUGGUACGUGAAAUUGUCUAAAUUUCCAGCCAUUUGUUCUCGAAGGUUUUAUCGAGAUUGAGCUGCGAAUAGUGUCGCUCGUAGAUAUCAAUGGGGGUGUUAAUUCGAAGGCGGAUGAACCCUUACAGUUUUGGUCUUUGUUACGACUGUUUAGCAUAGAAAAAUACUCACAUAUAUUCUUUGCUACAGGUUGGAGUGGUUCCAACAGCCGAAGCACAGCUACGGGCAAGAGAUGCUGAUUUAGAUCUUGUAAGAGCUUUUCUCUUGUUGGGGUUUAAAUCGUUCUUGGGUUAACCUUUAGGAAGUGAAGUGAACCUGGAGUUGGGCGGAAAUAUGAAUGUCAAUUGGAUUUUUCGAUGCAUUUUGGAAUGCACUUUUAGGGUCAUGGUAAAACAGUUAAUUGCUUUGGGGACUUGUUUUCUGAGUCCCUUUUUGGACGCUCUUAAUUUAGCGUCUGCGUGGAUUCAUGACCUACCACAAUUUUGUUUGCCCUAAUACAGUAGUCUAGGUUUUGAGGUUUUGAGACCAGAGGAAGUUGAAGCUAAACGUUGUCUCACACUCUUGCAGGUAAUGAUAGCUCCAGAUGCAGACCCCCCUGUGUGCAGAAUAAUGGAUUACAGGUAAGUUUGCAAGAUUAUCAGACUGAUGCAAUCUCUUUGUUAAAAUGGGUUGUCGAAACAUUUUGUUGCGUGCUUACUAAAGAGAUUGUUUUAUCUUUAUACAGUAAGUACAGGUAUGAAGCUCAGAAGAAGAAAAGAGAAGCUCAGAAGAAGGCUAUUGGUAAUUUCUCCUUGCUGUCAUUGUUAAUUGCCAAUGGGUCAAUUUUUCUUGUGAUUAUCUUGGGGUUUCAUGUAUGCUCUUAAACGCCCACAUUUAGUUUUUCAAUUUACUUUUUCUUUCGAAUAUGGAGAUUGUGCUAUCCGGUCGCUUGAUCUUUGAAGUGACAGGUGAUGUCGUGAUAUAAAGUUUGGUCAUGUUGAGUAGAGGGUUUCGAUAGAUCAGAAUCUUUGUGCAGAAGCUACUUGCAUGCUUUGAUAUUUGCUUUUGGAAGCAUAAAUCCCACGACUCUGGAACAUAGCGAUAGCGUUGUUAGAAAAGCAUCUGUGGUCAUCGAGGAUUUUCCUUAAUUUUAUUAAGCUUGGGGUAUACUCAUUUUGUGUGCACAAGGAGAUAUUAUACCAUUGCAUUCUCAUGGUUAUGUUUCUGUUAUUGCUCUGUGGUCUACAGCAAGUCGGCAGGAUCUUAAAGAGUUGAAAAUGAGGUAUUUGCUUAUGAUCUAGCAACCAUCUAAUUUCAAUCUCUCAAAUCAUCAGUGAAGUUUUUGGGUUACCCGUUGUUUUAUCUGAUGUGCAAAGUUAGAGCAUCAUGAUUAUAGCUUUUUCGCCCUUCUCAUAUUGCAACUAUCAUGAAUACUAGUUACUCGUAUACUAUAUAAUAAGCGUAACUUAGUACCUGUGCUGUCCAGAUAUAACAUUGAUACUCAUGAUUACCAAGUGCGUCUGCGAUCUGCAAUGAAAUUCUUGAAGGAUGGUGAUAAAGUAAGCAUCUGCCAUGUGAUACUAUAUAGGUUCUGCAUUGUUUGGAAAGUUAUAUAUGAGUAGGGUUACAAGAAUGUCAAAAACUUACUGGUGAAAUGUGGGUCUGAAACUGGUUUAAUUGCUCUACAGGUGAAAGUGGUCUGUCAGUUCAAAGGACGAGAGAUGGAUUUCAAGGAUUUGGCUUUUAAGUUAUUUCAAAAGUUUAUAGAUGAUAUCGGAGAGGUACAUGUAAAAGAGCCCUUCUCAUGUGAUGCGCACUUCCGCUGUUACUGUGUAAUCCUUCAUCUCCUGUACGCUGUAAGACAUUAACACAUAUAUACUGUUCAAUAAUUGACAUAUUGUGGGAACGAUUUGGUAUUGUACAGUUGGGAGUUGUUGAGAGCAAAAUGGCAAUCGAAGGAAGACAAAUGAUAAUGUUGCUGGGACCAAAUAAAACUGCUGUUGCCAAGCUACAGCCUGAGAAAAGUACUGAGAAAUCCAAAUCUAAAGAGCAAGAUAAUGGAAAGCCCAGUUCAGAAAGCACAACCACUGUAGAACUCGAGACGGCUCCUGUAUCUGACGAUACCUGAAUUUGUUAAGACACAGUUAGGUACGAGACGCCAAGUCGUCUAGUAAUGAAGCUGCUAUCCAGUGUCUGAUAACUGCACAUACAGUUAGAUUGGUUUUUACUCAUUUUUGCAGUUUUAAUGUGAUUGGUAAUUUGUAACAUCCGUUUGACCUCGGCGGUUUAUGACUGCCCAAUGUAUUCACACACGCUCAAUUAGCAUAAGAGAUUCAGUACUUUCGUCAUCUUAUUGACCAUUUACAUUGCUUACUUUCGUCUCGUCCCAGACAUUGCAAUCAGUUUAUCUUCAACAGAGGAUCCACGGACAUUAGCUAACACUUGUGGUACAUGCUGCUUCUCAAACUAGUUUAUGUAUUACACCAUUUGGUAAGCGGACAUGUGCUAUAAAACCUGGCUGAUGAUCUGCAGAGAAAUUUGUAGCUGAGACAUUUGUAGUCUAAGCUUUUGGUAGAUUGCUAUUUCUGUGGAUCGUCGGAUUGGAAUCUGGACGUAAUGUUCCGAAAUACCACACAUUAUUUAACAUUCUAUUGCCAAUUCUCUAAUCCCUUACAGUACCCGAAAACAGAAUGUCUGGACUCAGAUGGGAACUAAUGAAUACUAUGGACCUAGUUUUUAGAUUGGGAUCGUCGUUCCCUUCUGAGUUGUUAACAUUGAUGUGUGUAUAGAUAUAUGUACGUAUAUAUAUAUAUAUAUAUAUAUAUAUAUUCUGUCUCUCACAGUAGAUGGAAAUAUCUCUCUGUAUAUAUAUUCUCUCUCUCUCAUCUCACAGUAGAUUGAUUUAUUUUUUUGUCUUAAUUUUUUUUAUUGCAGAGUAACAAAUUGCUUUUCUUACAAAAAAUCCAAAACACAUAGUAACAACAAAUACAUAAUAAUUGUCUAAUUUUCCAUAAAGAGCAUUAAUAAACAAAAUCGUUUUUAUUCUAUAGAUUAUCUAUUCUUAAAGUUUACAAAUCAAAAUCAAUAAGGAUAUUUAACAAAAACAAACUAGACUAGUAAAUUGUUUAAAAGAAUUAGAAUAAAUAAAAUAAAGUUCAUGGUAUAUUAUAUGUAUUGUGACUUAUUAUAAUAUCAAAAAGUAACUUUAGAAAAAUUAAAUUUAUUAAAUUGAAUACCUAAUCAAAAUUUUAAAUUCACAAGACCAAUAAUAAUUCCAAAUGAUUAAAAAAAAAUAGUCAUUUGACAAAUAUAUAUACACACACACACACACACACACACAUAUAUAUAUAUAUAUAUAUAUAUAUAUAAUAUUAAAAAUUUCAAAUCAUGAUCACAAAAUUAAUUUAUUUUAUUUUAUUUUACUUCAAUAUAUUAAGGAGAAUAAUAAAGCGACCCAAAUUUUUACUAAUGCAACCCACUUCAUCUUAAGCAUUAUUGCACCCCUGGAGCUCCCAUCCCUAUUCCCAGCUAUUUCCUAUUCCCAACAGUUGCUGGAAAUGGGGGCAGGAGGAUGGAAAUGGAGGUGAUGGUAUGAAAUAGGAAAACGGUUGAGAAUGGGGCAUAUGGUUGAUUUAAUAAAAAUUUGGGUUGCUUUGUCAAUUCUCUAUGUUAAUGUAGAAACCAAUUUUCUCAAAAAGUAAAAGUAUCAAAUUUGUCAAAUUAAAAAAAUAAAGAAAAUCAAAUCAAAUUAAAAUUAGAAUACAAGGCACUUAGACUACUAUCUAAAAAUAAUGAGUGUUAUCUAUACUCAAAUUCAUAUAUUUUGAGAAUUGUAAUGUUUUACAAAUUUUGCAUUAUAGAGUUAUAUUAAGUCAUGUUAUUGUAAUUAGAUUGUGAUUUUCUAUUCAUUAUAAAAAUAUUAUAAAGAUUCUUAACUUUUUUCUUUAGUUAGGUUGUUAGUAAGACAUAUCCAAAAAAAAUAAGAACAAUAAAUUGUUUUAUGUCAAAAAAGUAGCAAUAUUAAUAGGUACUAUAAAUUUUUAUUUUGCACAAUUUAGUAUCAUUUAAGUUAUGAAAGAUGUUUAAUUUUUAUUUUUUUAUUUUUUUUAUUGCUAUUAUCUAAAAAUAUCUACUUGUAAUUUUUUUUAAAGUUGACUUUCAAAAUUUAUGUUGGUGUUUUCAAUUUAAAAUAAAUACUAACAUUCAUCAAACAAAUGAUUAAUGCAUCAUGAUGUACAACAAUAGUUUUAAAUCAAUAAGUUCCAUUUCAGAGAAAUAAAUAAAUAAAUAAAUAAACUCUUACCGAAUUUAGAACAAGCUUGAACCUUAGUUAAUAUUCAAAAUUUUAAAAUGCUGGUUUGUUUUUUUAUUGAUCCGAUUUCACAAGUAUUUGAAUCCAUAAAAAUUUCAUCUCAUCACUGCUAAUCCAUCUUCACCCUCAGAAAUAUGUACAUAAAACUUCCUGUGUUAAAUUUACUUGUAAUAGUCUAUGAAUACAUGAAAACUAGACCGUGGCUUGAAUAAAAUACGAUAUCAUUAUGCCUGAGGUAGCAGGCGACCCCUUUUUCUGGUUCGUGAGAAUUAGUGAAACAUGCCAAUCUUUUUAAAAUAAUCAGGACAAGAGGUUACAGAAACAUUUGCGUGCCAUCAGAAAAACCAAAAUUAUGAUGACCCAAAGAUCUCUGGCCACUUGAGGAGGGCUUUCUCUGCAGCAUCUUGUCUAGCGAGUCUCUGUGAUUUCCCAAUCCCAGUGGACAAGCGGAACCCUUUCACAUACACUCUAAUUCUGCAGGAUUCAUUUGGGGUGUUCUGAUUGUCAACUCCGAUCAACCUGCAUGGAAUUCACCACCUCAGAGCUAAGCACAAGUGACUAGACUUUCAGGACAUAACAUAAUUUAGUGUAAAGUUUCAGGGUUAUUCACAGGAUUUUAGUGGAACUGCUGGAGGAUAAUACAGCUAUCGUUUACUUGAAGGGCAGGUUGUGGGAAACACUCACUUGUAAUCUGGCUUCUCCUGCAAUACCAUUGCACAUCGAUCGUGCAGAAUGGUCACUGGGUUCCUCGUUGGCUUAGCGAGGAGUAGGAGGGGUAACAAACGAGUCUCGACAAACUGUAAGGUACUUUCCAGUCCCUACCAGAUGAAAGCAUAAGAAUGAAUCAAUCUCACAGAUAUUGCAUUAACCACAUAGAAACAAGACAGGAAGAUUAAGUUGCUCAUGUCCCGUCCACAAGAGUGUUACCUUUUCUACGUAGAGACCUCCAAUGUAAGCUUCCAGAGUGUCUGCACAAGCUUUCAUCUGUGGUGAUACGCACGCAGAACCAGUCUUUUGGUUAUGAUUCAUACACGAAAAUAAGACAGGUAGAUUAAGCCAUACCUUCAUACGCAAUAAACAAAACUAGAUGUCAGUUUCAGCAAAUUAACCUCACCUGAUUUUCUAAGAGAGCAGUUGCUGAAGCUUUUUUAGAUCGAGAGAGGAGAGGAUCACACAACACAAGCUCACGCAGAUCCAAUAAUGUGCACCAAGCGCGAGCCAAGUUGCUAUUACACACCUGCAAAGCCCAAUCCAGCCUACAAAUGUCAUCCAAUCACAUAGCCAGUUCUUCAACCAGCUGUCAGACGUACUUCAAAUGCUCAACAAUCCUCUUUGUUACCGUAUUAACAGUUUAAAAAAUAAGCGAAAUCUCAUUAUUUUAGCAUCUAGCAAACAAUUGGUCAUCACGAACCUAUGCCUUCACGAGCUAGGGCCAACUACCGACGACAUCUUAAUGAAGGCAAGUGCUAAGAUAGCUCUAGUUAGGUUUGACCAAUACCAGCUGUGACCUUCGUUCCGUUAUUGAGCCCUGCGUUACAUGUCAAUAUGUCAAGCUCCUCUUCAGAUAAAGGAUUCUCAUAAAACAUUCUACGCAGACUACAGGCAUAGAAAAAGGUCAUCAAAAAAAAAAAAAAAAAAGAAAAAGAAAAAGAAAAAGAAAAACUAUAGGUAGGAAAAUGCAGCAAGCGACGCACAGUUGACAGCAAAGGGUAUUGGCGAAUAAGGUGGGUGGAAGCGACAAGAUUCAAGACUGUGUCUCCUAUUAAAGCUAGCUUUAAUCGAGCCUGCAAUGGAAAGAAACAGCAGCUCGGUUAGAAUCAGAGAAAAUCACAGGGUAACUCGAGAACCAUAUUAGACCUGGGAGCAGAAAUUACGUGAAAGACUGAGACGAUACUAUUUGAAUGACAGGCUCAUGAUAGAGUAACACAAAUCACCCCAACGGUGCACACUUUUUACAAAUAUUUCACCGGUGUGUUGUUAAAAUAAAAUAAAAAGUCAAAAUCAAGGCUCUAUGUUUACUGUUCUCUGCCUUCGAUUCAACAAAGGGGGAGGACAACAUAACAUGAGUAAUUAAUCAACCUCUGCGUGUGCGUCAGCAAAAGUCAUCAAGUUGUCUUCCACGGUUCCUGAUCUUUGCCAUGACAUGAGAGGCUUCCUCAACUUUUUCUCUUUCACAGAUUGUGGCAUUUUGGACAAAUAGUAGCUCUUAUGAACCUGAAACAUACUAGAGAGAGAAAUGGCUGACCAUCAGGACCUCGUUGACACGAGCCAAAAAAAUAGAAAGACGUCAAACCAACAUUGAAUGUAACUCACGAGUGACAACUCAAAGAGAGAUGGUGUAGAUGAGGACCAAAAUUCGCAAGAGAAGCUCCCGGGAAUGGAUACUACAGCCAAGCUUCUCAGUUAGUAUCUGCAAAAACAGCCAUGACUGCGUUAACUUCUACACAUUAAUACUAACCUUCACUACACAUUGCAAUUGAAGCUAGAGCAAUAGGAGAGAAACUUUACGAGCAAAGCGACAGGCCUAAAAACCUGAACAAUUGGUAAGGGUGAUAAAAAUGGGCCAAAGAUUUUUUUUUUCCCGUCAUUUCUUGCAUGCCCUACUGAGACGCAACCAAUGCAAGAAGCGAGGAAUCAAGAGGUGAACCGGACCUGAAGCUGUAGAUUGAAGCUCUGGGGGAGGGGCAGCACUUCGCAUAUCAAAUCUGGAAUCCGCCAAGAACACUCUGGUAUGCCUGGCAUUUGGGGCCACACUGCCAAAGUCUCCAUACCAUUGCUCGUUUCCGUAAAACUAUCCAGGCCAGUCUGUCUAUGGGAAGGCGCAGCUUGGCUAUUAAAGAAGAGCUCAUUACUCAGAAAAUCUCUGCCACCAGAUACUGUUCUCGUUUCUUCUACAGCUACGCUACUCAAUUCUGAACGCGAUUCCGCGCCACGGAAUUCAUUGAACCCGACGUUGAUGACCUCUUGUGUAUUAAGUUCCAAAGAAUUUAUUUCGGUCUCGAUAUCCAAGUCCUGUUCCUCCUGGCAGUCCAGGGAGCCACCAACUUGGGUAUAUAAACCCCUAGGCACCAAAACAUUACCAUUUACCUCGAUCGCGAACUCUUUGCGCUGCGCUGCGCCCAAUUCAAGAUCUGCCACAGUACAAUUGCGGCGGAAGGCAUUGAUCAAUACAAGUCGACUAAAACUGAACACCAAUAUUCUCUACCAUUCAAUUGCAACGCACGUAGUAGUACCAAGAAAUUGAGUGACAGCACUCCCAUGAUCGUAAUCCUAAGAAGUUUCCUCAUAUACCCAUCUCGGAGAGCGAAACGUACCAUUGGAAACGACCGCAUUUUUGGAAACUCGACGCAAACCAGGGCAGAGCCCGCUUCGCCGCGCUCUACCAUACUUACUCCCACCAAACACAACCGAAUUGCAAGUUCCAUAAACAUUCUCGGCGAUGAGAGACACAGCUCCCAGCGUUACCAAUUCCCCUCGGCCCACAAAAAGAAUGUUGCAUUCUCUGACGGCAUGGAGACUAGUGCAGUGAAGCCGAGCAAGCUUGUAAACUUCCCCAAUCCCUCUCCCGUACCGCUGAAUCAUGAUGCCACGGCCACCCAAUUACCCUAAAACAACCCUGAAUUCCAAAAACUGUGGCAAAUGCGGAAUCUUCAUGUCACAGUGGUGAAUCAAUCAGGCAUUGAAACAGCGGAGCCACGACACCAUCCCACCACGUCUACAGAUGCGCGCCGCCUAGAAAACUGGUGGAAAAAAAGGGAUGACAACAACAACGACAACAACAACGAGUGGAUCCUGAUUGCAAUGAAUGCCCAGUUUGAGAAUGCAAGUGGAGUAAAUGCAAAAGCAAGCAAGGAUUAAAGUGCAAGCCCCCCAAACAAGUGGAGCGAGAAAGAGAACGAGGUGAUGGAAAAAGGAGGCUGCUUUGUAUGAAGAAGAGUGUCUUGCAUCACACAUUUUUAUUUGCAUCACUUUUUUAUCCACCAAUCUAGUUAACCUUGUUUUGUCUUGUCUUGUAUAAGUAGUUCAUCCUUCACUUCACUCCUUCACUUCACUCAGCUUUCACUUCAAUCUCAUUGCUCCAAGUUUCAAUCUCAUUUCAAUCUCAUUGCUCCAAGUUUCAAUCUCAUUUCAAUCUCAUUGCUCCAAGUUCAUCACUUCACACAGCUUCACUUCAAUCUCAUUGCUCCAAGUUCAUCACUUCACACAGCUUCACUUCAAUCUCAUUGCUCCAAGUUCAUCCUUUACUUCACUCAGCUUUCCUACAUUGUUGCCAUGUUUUGAUUGAAUACAAUGAGGAGAUUCAGACUUAAGGUUUUUGGAUGAUAUUUCAAAAUAUCACUUGAUGCUUCAUCAAAUCACCUACCUUGCAAAGUGGAUGAUUUUUAAAUCCAAAUAUCAAAAGGACUAGUGAAAUAUCAAAUAUUGCUUUGCUUGCCUUAACUCUCUUCCAUCUUUGAUUCCAUACCAAAGGAUAAUAAAGUUUGAAUUAGGAAUAAUAAAGUUUGAAUGGUGAUAUUUUAGGAGGUGAUAUUUUGAGUGAUCCGUGAUAUUUGGUUUUCCAAAAACCUUAAGUCUAAAUUCCCGCAAUGUUGUGAAAUUUUUGGAUUAGUGUCUUUCUUUACAAUGUUGUUGUAGAUUUGUUCUUCUUUGCUCUCUAUUCUAAUCUAUCUAAAUUUUAGGAUUUUUGAAGGAAAAGUGGAAAAGUAGGCAUCUAGUAAGAAUUUGUUUACAUUUACAAGACAUUUUUUGUCAAGUUAUUGAAAGAUUUAUAUUGAAAAACUAUAUCAUUUUUUAUUUUUUAUUUUUUGAAUUGUUUUUACUUAUUUUUGAUUUUGUGAUUUUUUCCAUAUUUGUGAUUCUUUACACUUUCUUCAUCUCUUAUUACACAAUUUAUAAUAUUAGAUAUAUUUUUUUUUUCUUCUUGGUUUAUAUAGUUUUAUCUUUUAUAUAUAUAGGCCUAAAUGCUCAUCUUGCAUUUCCACAUAUUUUGAAUCAAUUCACUUCUAAAUUAUCAUUUUAUAUAUUUCUUCUAUCUUUUAUUAUCCAACUAAACAUUUGAAAAUGUUAUAUUAUUACUUCUAUUUGUUUCUCUUUAACUUUGUCUUUUCUUUAGAAAUAACUUUGUGAUUCUUUAUUUUUCAAAUUAUAUAGGUUUACAUAAGAAAACACCUUAUUUUUUUGGAUCUUAUUGGCUUCAUCAAAUUUAGGUAUAACUCACAAUCAUUCUUCUACAUUUUGGUUGUUUUAAUGGUAGAAAUGUUUACAUUUAUCUACUUAUGAGAAACACUUGUAUAAAAAUAUAAAAAUACUAAUUAUAUAUAUAUAUAUAUAUAUAUAUAUAUAAAAAAAUAUAAUUUCUUAUUUUUAUUUUUGAUAUUUUUUUAAAAAUUGGUUGAAAUUUAAAAAUAUAAUUUGUUCAAAUCUGUUACUUGAGCUUUAGAAGCUCUAAGCAUUCACAAAAUAGAACUUGGUGAUAGUCAUGAUUUCCAAUAAUAUGCAUUGAUCUAUAAACAAGCUAUUUUGUUAUUAAGAUUUGAAAUUACAUGGAAUCAAGCCUAGUACUAUUUUUUCUUGAGAUUCUAUUAUUUGAUAAUAUUAUAUUCUAUUCUACUAAUUCUUGAUUAUCACUAAUGUACUAUUUCAAUGUUUUAAUAUUGACCCUCUCUAGCCAUACUUGAGAGGUGCCUUUGCAUUUUGUGGUGGCAUUGUCAAUGUUGCUCUUAUCUUUCCUCUCAUUGCUUUGACCUUAUACCGUUUAAUCACUGUGAUAGAUAUUAGAUUGCUUUAAUGGAUUACAAAUUGCUUAGGUGGAUAAUACAAUCUCUACAAGUCUAAAAAUAUGGCAUAUGGUUGAUGGUUUAUAUUUACAAAUAUGUAUGUUGCAAAUGAAUGAUAUAUAAUGGCAUAUAUAAAGUAGACACAUUAUUAUCAUUCUAAUUAUUAGUUGUUUGUAAAAUAACUUGAUUGAUAAUCUUACAUGUAGUAUUUGUAUUGUAAAGUUUUUUGCAAUAAUUAUAUAUGUAUUAUAUUUAUAAACCAAUUUAAAUCCUAAAGUAGCUACAAUAAGCACCAUAUUCUUAUCUAUCUAUUGAUUUCUUCUAUUAAUAUUUACAAGUACUAUUCUAAGACUAAAAUUUCAAAUUAUAUUUUAAAUUAUAUUUUUAGUUAUUUUAUAAUUUAUUAUAUAUCUUUUUAAUUAUAAUAAUAGAAAUAAAAAUAUCUUUAAUAAAAAAUAAUCUACAUUAUAAAUAGUAUUAAAGAACUAUUGAAGAAAAAACACUAUGAAGUCACAACACUUAGUAUUAACAAAGUUUCAUAGAAAGAGAGUAUGGAAUAAGAUAUCACUUAUUUCCAACACCCAUUACUUAAGGUGGUGGCUGCUACCUUAAUUGACAACUUCCAUUGUUUAAUGAAUACAUCCAUCCAACUUUCUACCAAGACUAUUCAUUGUUAUCUUAUCUAUUAUAAAAAUAUACUUUUAGCAUAUUUUAUAUAUUCUUAAGAUUCUUGGUCAUUUCAUCUAUUUUAUCUUUUGGCCUUCUAACAUAUCAAGAACCAAUCAUUUUAUCAAUAACAACUUAUCUAAGGUAAUAUCUUCUACAAGAUAACUUAAUUUAUUUUCACUUUUACUUACUUACUUUAAUACUCUCAUUUUGCUUUUAGUCAAAGGCUUUCAAUCCUAAUGCCAUUGUCAACACAUGAUUUCUAUCCUUUACUAUUACUUUUAUCAACAAAUCACCAAACAUGUCUUUUGUCAUACAAUAUUUCAUAUCAAUCACUCCCAUUUCAAUCUUCUCUUUUAUAAAAAGAUGUUGAAUGUCAAUGUAUUUGGUCCUUGAGUAAUGCUUUGGAUUCUUUGCAAAUGCAAGACAUCCUUGCUUGUCUCACUCUAUUUGAGUUUCUUUUAUUUGUAGUAUUCCAAUGUACUCCAAAAGUUAUCUUAGCCAUAUUUCCUCCAUUGUACCAUUGCUUACUAUCAUGUAUUCCACCUUUAUUGUUGACCUUGUAAUUAUUGGUUGUCUCUUGCAAUUCUACAAAAUAGCUCCCACUCUAAUAAAGAAUACAAAUUCUAUUCUUGAUCUUCUAUCAUUUGCAUCUCCAACCCAAUCUGCAUCACAAUAACCAUCCAAAUUAAUGUUAUCACCUCCAAUGCACAAUUUGAAAUGCAAAGUACCUUUUAAAUACCUCAUGAUUCUUUUCAUGGUUGUCCAAUGGAUUGGUCUAACCUUUCAUAUGUAUUGGCUCACAAUACUCACUACAUAUACAAGAUCCACUCUUGUGCCAAUCAUUGUAUAUAUAAGUAAAUCCACUACUACAUUAUAUGGAGCAUCUUGUAUUUCACCUUCAACUUUAGCAAAUUCUUCAUCCGUGAGCUUCAUCAUCUUCAAAUUAUCCUCCAAAGGUGUUUCAAUAGGCUUACACUCUUCGAUGUUGAAUCGUUUCAACACUUCUUCAAUGUACUUCUUUUGGCUCACUAUAAUGGUCUUUUUAAUAUGAUUUCUCACAAAUUCCACUUCUAAACAAUAGUGAAGCUCUUUCAAAUCACUCAUUUCAUACUUCUUUUCUAACUUUGCCUUCAAUCAAUCCAUCAUCUUCAUAAUAUUGGUUAAGAUGAUCAAAUCAUCAAUAUAGAGGAUGACAAUCAAUAUGAACUCACUUAAUUAUAUCAUAUACAAGGAAUGACCAAAUUUAUUUGUUAAAAAUCCUUCAUUUCAAAAGAAUGUGUCAAUGCGUUGGUACCAUGUCCUUGAAAAUUACUUGAGCCCAUACAAGGUUUUAUUCAACUUACAAAUAAGAUGUUAUUUGUCUUCUUCUACAAAUCCUUGAGAUUGCUCCAUGUAAAUGACUUCUUUUAGAUUUUCAUUCAAAAAAGCCAUUUUCACAUCUAUUUGAUGCAUCUUUAACUCCAUUGCUACCCCAAUUGCAAAAAUGGUUCUAAUUGUAGUGGAUUUGGCCACGAGAGCAAAUGUCUAAUUGAAAUCACCACCAAUAACUUGUGAGUAGCCUUUGGCAACCAAUCUAGACUUAUAUCUCAUAGUAUUGUCCAUUGUAUCCUUUUUAAUUCUAAAUACUGACUUACAACCAAUUAAAGAUCGAUUUGGUGGAAGUUGAGUCAAUUUCCAUGCUCCAUUGUCCAUGAAUAAUUUGUACUCUUCUUCAAUGGCAUUCUUCGACUUCAUAGCAUCCAUAGACUUCAUUGCAUUACACAAACUUAAAUGGAUCAAUAGAGAGUAUAACUUUGGCAUGUUCUUCACUUACUUGAAGAAAGAUGUGAUUCUUCUACUAUACACUAAGUUGUUUUCUAUCUCUCAAAAAAUAUCUCCUUUCACUUGAUGAAGCUUCACCUUCUUUUAUCCCAAGGUUUCUUAUAAGCUUCUUUUCUAUUAAAUUUUACUUCUUCACAUUCAAAGAUUGAUACUCUUCAUCAUCAUCAUCAUCUUUAACAUCUUCAUUGUCUUCAUUACUGAUUUUAGCAAUAGUAGGCUUACUAUAGUCUACCUUCUUUGGCUCUUCAUUUUAAUUUGAAUUUUUGCUAUCAUCAAUGUCAUCAUGUUCAUCUACUUCUUUACUGAAAUUGAAGUUGUAUCCACAAAUAUACCAUUACUCCGACUUAGAUACAUCUUCAAGUGCUCAUAAGCAUUCCUAUGCUCAAAAAACUCUACAUUAAGAUUCUUGAUGAUUUUUUUGAUUUCUAAAUAUAUUAGCCUAUAUGCCUUGAUACCUUCACAAUAUCCAACAAACAUACAUUUUAUACCUUUUGCAUCAAGUUUGGACCUCAUACAAUUUGGUAUCUUUGCAUAUGCAAUACAUUCAAAAAUCCUCAUGUAUGAAACAUAAGGUUUCUUGCCACAUCAAGCUUUUUGUAGAAUCAUUGAUAUGAAUGUAUUUGUUGGACACCUAUUCCUUGUAUACACUGCAUUUAUCACUAUUUCUCUCCAAUACUCAUGCCUAAGGUUUUGUACAUGAAACAUACUCCUUGCCAUCUCUACUAUAAUAUGAUUUGGUCUUUCAGCAACUCCAUUUUGUUGUGGACUGUAGGAAAUAGAGGAUUAUCUUACAACACCUUGAAUCUUCAAGAAUUCAUCAAAAUAUUUUGAUAUGUAUUCACUUCCAUUAUCCAUAUACAACACUUUAAGCUUGUACUUACAUUGUUUCUUUGCAAGAGCAUUAAAUUCCUUAAACCUUGAGAAAGAUUCAUUCUUAGCUUUAAUGAUAUAAAUCCACACUUUUCUUAAAAAAUCAUCAAUAAAUAUGACAAAAUACUUUGUUCUUCCAAUUGAUGUUGUCUUCAUUGGUCCACAAAUAUCAAAAUGUAAAAUCUUCAAUAAUUUGGUAGCAUGUGUUGCAACUCCUCUUAGAAAGAAAGUCUUUUAUUGUUUGUCUUGUAUGCAUCCUUCACAAGCAAAAGUCAUGGCAUUAUCACUGAAUUGGCCAAGAUUCAAGCCACUUACUAUAGAUUGGAACUCAUUCAUGCUUUUGACAUUCAAAUGACCAAGUCGUUGAUGCCAAAUUCUAAAUUUAUCUUGAUCUUGUGAAAAAUCAACAAAUGCUAUCACUUUUAUUCUAUUCACCUUCUUACAAUUGAUGAAGUAGAGGUUGUCCUCUCUAAGACCUUUGACAAUAUGUUGUCUAUUCAAUAUCUUCACAAAACAUCUAUUCUUAUCAAAUUAAACCUUACAACCAAGUGAUACAAGUUUGCUCACUGAAAGGAGGUUCUUCAUCUUUGGCAUAUGUAAGACCUUGUUCAAUGUGAUUCUCUUGAUUUGGUUCUUCACAAUGAUUUCCACAACAAUGGAUCCAAUUUCAAUGGCUUGUACCAUGCCAUUCUCUUUCAACUAAACUUUGAUUGCUAGAAUUUCUUUAUAAGUGUCAAAUAAAUACUUGUAUGGUGUCAUAUGCUUAGUAGGAUCCGAAUCUAUAAUCCACUAAGACAUAUCAGUCAUAGACACUCUUUUACUUGCCAUAAAAACAUAAUCAUCUCCAUCAAAGUUAUCAUGAAUAUUGUUUGCAUUCUUCCCAUCUUCUUUCUUAGCUUUAUAGCAAUUCUUAGGAAAGUAACUUGAUUUUUUAUAAAUAUAGUAAUUUUUUAUAUUUCUUUUAAAAUUAUUAUAUUGGUAAGAAUAGCUACCUUUGUCUUAUCUUAAAAUUAGAGCCAAAUCAUGACUUUGAAGCUCAUUUUCUUUCCUUUUGGUCACUUCAUGGACAAGCCUUGAUGUGAUAUAAUUCAUGGUAAGCUCUUUCAUGUUGUUAGACUCCAAUACCACAAUGAGAUAGCUAUAGGACCCGAAAAGGCUCAUGAUCAAUGUCAAUACAAUGUCCUUAUCAUCAACUCGCCUAUCAACAAUUGCUAGUUGGUUUGCCAAUGCUUUUAUCUUGUUGAUAUGAGCCAUGAGGUCAUCUCCUUCUUCCACCUUUACCAUUAAGAACUUCCUCCUCGUCUAGAAAAUUUUGGCUAGGUUUUUAUUCUUAUAGUUGUUGCAAAGAGUCUUCCAUACUUUUGUAGCUCUAUUGCAAGUAAUUACAUGUGAAAAGUUGGCAUCAUCCAAAUUUGAUGCAAUCAUACCAAAAGUUUUUCUUUCACGGCAUUUAUAUUCAUUCUUCACAUUGACAUCAACAUCAUGACUUGAAGGUUCUUCACUUUCAUCUACAAUGUUCCAAAGGACCAAUGAAAUCAACAAAAAAAUCCAUUUUUUUCUUUCAAUGGUAAAAGUUAUUACCUUUAAACUUCUCAAUUACUCUUAAACUUUUAUCUUUACUUAAAGCCAUAUCUAAAAAAAAAGGUGUAUAAAAAAAUAUCAAGAAAAAUAAAAGAAAAAGUUCUCAAAAUCAACAAAAAGGUAUUACUAACUUAAAAACCCAAAAUACCUUUUUUGUAAAUAAACAAGUGAUUUCACUCUUUAAUCACUCUCAACUUCACUUAUAAGACUUCUCACAAGUCUUAUACUCUAUCUUAACCUCUUGUAUAAGCUUUGCCACUCCACAAUCACUUCUCUUGUCUCAUGAAAUAUGUCUUACAUCACAAAAUACUUCUUAUCACUAUAAGAGGAUCUCAAGGAAAGUUUAUCACAUAAAACCACAAUGUUAGAUCACAAAUGAUAUAAAUCAACAAAGAAAUACAAUACUAAUGUUCUAAAACAUCAUUCUAAGGUAUCUAACAACCUCUAAGAUUAUCAAUGCACUUAACAACAAGUAAGAGCAAAACUAUAUCAACAACUAGAUACAACAAUAGAAUUAGAUGAUACCAAAUCCUAACAUCAGAAACAACAAAAAGAUCUACUCUUCACAAUAAGUAAGACUUCAAAGAACUUCAAAAUUUACAACUAAAGGUAAGUGGGCCCAUAACCUAUUGAAGAACUAUUGAAGAACUAUUGAAGAACAAGCACUAUGAAAUCACAACACUUAACAUCAGCAAGGUUGCAUACAAAGAGAGUAUGGAGUAAGAUAUCUCUCAUUUCCAGCACUUGUUACUUAAAGGUGGUGGCUUUUGUCUUAAUCGACAACUUCCAUACUUUCAUAAAUACAACCAUCCAACAUUCUAUCAAGACUAUCUAUUGUUAUCUUAUCUACUAUAAGAAUAUUCUUUUAGUAUAUUCGAUAUAUUCUUAAGAUCCUUGGUCCUUUUAUCUACUUUAUUUCUUGGCCUUCUUAUAUACCAAGAGCUAAUUUUUUUUACCAAUAGCAACUUAUCUUAGAUAAUAUCUUCUACAAGGUAACUUAUUCUACUUUAACUUUUAUUUACUUACUUACUUUAACAAACACAUCUAAUAUUGUUUUUUUCUUUUUUCUACAAAUCAAUAUAUAUAUAGUUCUUUAAUGCAAAUCUUUAUAUUUUAGGCCAAUUACCACUUUUAUAAAAGAUGACAUUGUACAGAUUGUUGUUGGAUUGCACACCAUUGAGGUUUAUAAAUAAGAAAAAUAUCAUUUGUACCCCUAAAAUAUGUUAAAGUAUCAAGAAUAUCCAUGUGUUCUUGAUAAUAGCAAAUUUACCCCUCACUUCUUUGAUAAUAUCAAAUCUACCCUAGAUCUCACAUUUUUUUUUUUUUUUUUUUAAAGUCAAACCAGGUCCCACCUGCGGGCCGCGGAUAAAUCGGCGGAUUCAUUUCCGCAUUUUCCCGCACAGUACGCCAUCAAUCUCACACAAAAAUAAUGAUACUAGCCCAUCAACAUUCGGGGCACAUCCAUGGUUUGUCCACGAAGCAACUGGCAUUGUUCACGCCCAUAGACAAACUCUCGUCAUUCAGCGUCAUCCUUUCUCGUUUGAGAUACUCUAUGUAAUUCGACUUGGGGCACAUCGCGUAUGAAGUGAAAUUGUGCAGCAAAUCAACGCUGAUGCUACCGACAAGAACUGUCGUUGAAAGCGCUCUUGCGCCAUGCAUAUGCGACUCCGAUUCAAUGGCCGAUGAGCUAAUGAGCAAUCUCCGAUUGCAUUAUGAGCUGAUGAAGCCCAAGCUCUCUGUGCACCUCUUGCGCACUGGGUUUUCCAAGGAAUAGCUUGCAGUCAGUAAAAGCUCCGAUUGACACACUCAACUUGACGUAAGGAUUCACAACCUCAAAUUUUGGUCUUCUGCAUCUGGGGUGUUUGUAUGGGUGGCACCAUCAGGGCAGCAUCAGCUAUCGAACACUGCAAAACUGCAACAACUUGAGUGGGGACACCCUGGCUGUAGCUCCGAGUGUCAGAGAGCGGAGUUGUUCAAACCACUGCAUUACGCAAAUCCCAACAAGUUUCCCUUUUAAAAAACCAUAAGAUUCCACCAUCUUGCAGCCACUGCCACCAUUCCACCGCUUGUGCUGAUCGACUCACUACUGCAGCUCAAGAUGAAGGGAUUCCAAGCACUGGUGCUGAUCGGAACUCUCAUGCUCGUCGCUUGCAGCUGCUCAGCUGCCAGAAUUUUUGUGGAAGAGAAUCGUGCAACACGCCAUAUGAAGUUCAAGAAUGGUCUAUCGCCUACCGAGAAGCCCAAAUUGCCGCCGCUGCCCACUUUGCCUCCCAACCCCGAGCUCACGUUGCCGCCGCAACCCAAGCUGCCGAGUUUCGGGAAGAAGUGCCCUCCACCUUCUCCGGUCUAUGAGUCUCCUCCUUACUCCCCUUCCCCGGUGUACACUUCUCCUCCUUACUCUUCCUCCCAUGUCUACAGGUCUCCUCCCCCUUAGAGCUCAUCACCGCAAUGAGAAGGAGCUCGAGAAAUCCAACUUAUGUAAUCGCAGCCAUUGCAGAAUUUCGUCUGGACACGUUUUACGAGUGAAUGGAGGUUGUGAUGAAGCCAUCAGUUGUAAUCCAGGACUUCGCAUUUAACGCAUAGUUUUGUGUUGGCUUGCUAAGUUUUCAAUGAGGCUUUGAGGGAAUCGGAAGGCGAUUACGCUGAAUUGCGAGAGUUUGUCUACGGGCGUGAACAAUGCCAGUUGCUUCGUGGACAAACCAUGGAUGUGCCCCGAAUGUUGAUGGGCUAGUAUCAUUAUUUUUGUGUGAGAUUGAUGGCGUACUGUGCGGAAAAAUGUGGAAAUGGGCCCGCCGAUUUAUCCGCGGCCCGCAGGUUGGUCCCAGUUGGACUUUAAAAAAAAUAAAUUGUGAUACCUUAUCAACCUCAAGGGUGGAUUUGAUAUUAUCACUUCUACAGGGUUAUUCUUGAUAUUUCAACAGGGGCAUUUUUUUUCUUAUAACUAAUAUUUGAAUCACGUUUUAAAGCAUUUUUAUUCUUAUGUUAAAAAGUUCAUAUCAAAAUUUUAAACUUUACCUUAAUUGAUUGUAAUGAUUUCAAUAAUUCUUUUAACAAUGACAAACAAUAUUAAUUUUUUAUGAUAUAAAAUCAUUAUAUAGUAAAAAUCAUUAUAAAUAAUAUUUUUUGAUUGAUUUAAAAAAAAAAGAUGAAUCCACAUGAACUUGUCAAAAUAAAAAAUACCUACAUACAAUUGAGAAAAGAAAAGAAAAAACAAACGAAUAAAAAUCCUAAUGUAUGGAAAAAAUAGAAAGGUAUUAAAAUAGUUGUUGCUAAGUACAUUUUUUUAAAAAGGUCAAAAAUAUAUAUUGUCCAAAUUUUCUAACGAAAUAGCAAUAGAAAAAUUUCUGAGGAAUUUUCCAAGGACCACAAAACUUGCAAGCUAAGUUACAGAAGCUUUCCAUUUGUUACAUCUUCAUUAUAUUUAUUGUAAAAAGACAAGUACUUCAGAAAACACCACUGACAAGGUCGAACUUAAAAAAAACCUAUGAUACUUCUCAUAUUCAUCUGGUAUAUCAUCUCUAAAGGAGAUAUGAAGAUGGUCCUUGGCGCAUAGACAGUGGAGAAAUGGAAACAACCCUGUAAACCUUCAUUCAUUGUGCGAGUGGACUGAACCAGUUCCCUGAGAAUCAGUCAAUGAGGCACGGAUUCCAUUUCUACAAAUGUACCAAAAUGUUGCCCAUGGGCCUAUCCAAACCAGGAGAACUCAUUCAUGGACAAAUAACAGAAAGCCAGAUUACAAUCACACGUACCAAUACUGAGAUUGAAAUGUUUUUUCAUAUCUGAAAUUUCUCAAGCUGUACACAUGAACGUGGCCAAGUGUCAUCUAGAAAUAAACCUAACUCAACUUAUUCACAGCUUUCAUGUCGUCUUCGACAGACAACAGGCUACAGCCUAAAGUCAGCAGUCAAGGUAUGAAACUCAAAAGAAACCAAGGAUGGAGGACUAGCUGAGUGGAUUCUUUAAUCUACACGUUUGCUCUCCAAGUCUGUCUCAGGAUGAGCAGGUGACUUGGGCAUCUUUGCCACAAGCAAAGGGCAUGGGCUGUUGUGAGCAAGAUGGUCGGUAAGGCUACAGAGCAUUGUUCUGUCAAAUUCAAGUUAGAUACGGGGUCAGGAAGUUUUAGAAAAAGUUAAUCAGACAAUUCGAGACGUGAAACAUUCCCAGACAUGAAUUAAACAUGUGAUCCCCAAGCUGGUAAACGGAGAGGUCGUACCUGGAAAGAACACUUCGGUCAUGAGUUCCGAUAACCACUGCAUCAGCUCGAAGAUUUGUCAACCCUUCGAUAACCUUCAUUUCAGGUUGGCCGUUUACCACAAUACCCUCACAUUUGAUCUGAAGAAAUGAGAUAGCACACAAGUUAGUGCCCUAUUUGAUAUGCUAAAAGGUUCGCUAAUGUGAAAUUUUCAGCUUACGGCGAUGAGGUUACUGUAAAAUGAGUCGCGUUUACCUUUGUCUCCUUAUUUACGUACUCCAUAUACUUCUCCACCAGCUUUUCGCUCUGAUUCAAGGCCUCUACCUCAGACUUCCCGGCUAUCUGACUGGGGACAUAUACCUCCUCUAUUCCGAAUUCUCCUGAUUUCAGGACAAUGAAACCCAUAAGCAACGGUUUGUCACACGAUGGUCUUGAUACUCCACAUUUAUCUUCCAAGAGUAGUAAAAUCAAAAGAAGUGACGCUGUCAUCAAUAAAUACACGCAAAAGGCAUUUCUCGUACACUCCACACAGCGACGUGGCAAUAAAUAUAGAUUUCUAUGCUAAGUCCAACGCCAUUAGCGUGUGUAAAGGAUCGCUCAGCAGAAAAAAACUUACCGGUACCCGCGGUAGCCGCUAGUGGUACGGACUGAUUUACGUGAUACAGGAUCAGGUUAUCCUCCUCCCUGGAAAAGUUCUCUAGUGCCCAUUUAAAUGCAUAUACGGACUGCCACAAAACGAAGCAAUAUUAAGAAAUCGAAUUUCUUGAUCAAUUCUCCCAUUGCAAGCUAGGAUGUGUCUAUUUCAAUCCCUGAUGUGGUCCACGUCAACUAAAACAACAACAACCAGCGUCAUAACAAUGCCCAAAACCCUAAUCAUAAAUAACUACAAUAUGUGGACUCGUGUCAGCGAGAGAAUGCUCUCACCAUUGUCCUUCCUUUAAUACAAAGGAAUUUGCAGCUAAUUCAAAUGUUCCUGUUUUUUUACCCUCAAUCGCUAUGAUGGAUCUCGACUAUCUGAACUCCAUUGAAAAGUUACAUUGGUUUCUUCUCAGCUGAUCAUUAUCAUAGAAGACCAAGAUUGGCUACAAAGUCAUUGAGGCAGAAUAGAAAGUAGAAAUACCUCUCGUGACUCGUCAACUGCAAUGACGACCUUUCUACUACCUCCAACAGAAUUUAGUGGGUCAUGGACCUUAAGGUCUUCCUCUAUAUGUCGAACAAUAGCCACAGGACAAGAUGCAUUGUGCAGCACAUAAUCACUGUUGCUUCCUGUAAUGAUCCUGUAGCGUGAAACAGAAUAGGUCAGUAAAAAAACACAGAAUCUUGACAUCUGCCGUCCAUAAACCACUGCUGAAGUUGGCGAAAGUGUCCUCACCGUUUCAGGAUUCCAGACCCUCGGCUGCCAAUCACUAUCACAUCUGCGCCAAGACGAUUUGCCUCGUCCACAAUCCAGGUUCCAGCAUCGCCUUUCACGACCUCUCCUGCACAUGCAAUCUGUUAUGCACAAUCAAAAAAGUGUUAGUGCUACGCAAUGAGUAAACUACUUGUACUAAGCUAAAAAAACAAAUUGCAUUAGAUAAGGCAUUUCUAAUGUUUCUUCAUUGGGUGUGGGAGGUUGAUAACCCUGAGAAAUAGGAAACAACCAGGCAGCAAUUAAGGAGAUAAAGUCGCCGUCCAACAGUUUUGAUAACAUGAAAAUCUCAAACACUGCUAUCAUGAUAACUAGGCAGGUAACCACAAUAUUUUACCGCUCGUUCUACCAAUGUGAGCCUAAUUAUGGUUCCUAUGAUCAUAGAUACAUGUAAACCUUGAGCUAGUGAAGAGAGGGCACAAAAGUUAAGGUGACUUACACCAGCCUGAUUGCAUUGCGAUAUACAUCUAGCAACGAGAUCCUUGGCCUUCGUAUUUACAUCUUUCUCGUUGGUUUCGAUAUCAGUUGUUACUGAGACUGCUCCCGCUCCAUACUCUAUCACAUGCACAGAAUGAUUUUUAGUCAUGGCAGUAAAAAUCCCAUUGCUUCCGUAUCGCUAUACCCCGAUCUCAAAUUUUAGGUUCAAGCUUUGCUGCAAGUGCAGUCCUUGCAAGAAAUAACAGGAAGUAGCUAAACUUAUCCAAAUGAAGUAGUACAAAAGUGUCUGAGACGAGCUCGCCCCGCCCUAGGUUAUGGAACCCAUGUUGUCCACGUGAUAACUUCAAUUUUUUUAAAGGAUAUCACUCAAAAAGAACUCUUUAUCCCUUUCAACCGUCUCCGUUAAAAACACGAAUGCCAAAGCAUAAAUCCAAGUAAAAUCUGCUGAAGGACACUGAAAAUUGUCGGUUGCAAUUCCGUGAGAGAAAUGAACAGAAACUCUCUCCGAGGGAAUCAGACUGGUCUUUUCAAAUGCUUUGAGGAAAAGUUAAGGGCAAGAGAAGGUCACAGAUCAACGACCUAUACGACGGUAGAACAUAACGCAUUCACUGGAUUAGGCAUGCACUUCGUCACUCUUGUAAAGCGACUCACCGGUAGCCAUGUCUGGAGACGGAUAGCCCAGAGCGACGAAAGGAGCAGCAGUGAGCACCACAACUUUGUCCGUUUUGCGAACCAAAUUAUGCAACGCCCAAGUAAAGGCGUACGCAGACACUUCAGAAUCAUCAACAGCAACAAUAAUCUUCCGAUCGGUCGCCAUUGCUAACGAAACCUCUCACCACACCGAGUCAGCGAAGAAGAAAACCCUCAGCAAAACCACGACUUUCGGCCAACUCUGCACUCAACCCAACCUAAAACCAAGUCAGGAAACAAAACAAAAUGACCCCGUAGCGCAACAACAUCAAGGCAUCAGAUCUCACAAUGAUCAUUCGAAAUCGCACAUGAUACACACAAUGGGCACUCAACACACAGCACAGAGAGAGCAUAGGAAAACUCUUACGGCGUGCAGCGAGCGAAACAAUACUUUUUUGUCAAUGUGGUGGUGAUCGAUUGAGGAACCCACAAAUAACUUACAAAAAUAUAGGAAAAAACAACUGAUUGAGAGAUGAAAGAUCCAAGAUAGGAAACAACGCUUGUGAAGACGCGGAUAAUAUAAGCCCAGGGAAGUCAAAUUCGCUGCAGAGUGCCAUUCCUCUCUCUCGACGUGAAGCAUCGGUACACUUCAGCGGUUAAACCCUACGACCGUGGAUCGGCGUUCUUCGCGCCAAGUGUCGGUCGCCGACGCAGCCAGUUGCAGCGCCACUGGUCACCCCGUUGCUGACGCGGCAAUGUAGUCGUUCGUGAUCCCGUGCGAUGGAUGAGUGGACAAUUAUUGGGUUAUCGAUGAACGUGGUUGUUUUGGAUGGAUGACAGUUGACGUGAAGCAUGCAUUAUUGAAAUCCCAUGUAGAACUCUCUGUGAAGAAUCUACAAUUGGUAUUGGAAGUAUUUCUUUUUCUUUUUCUGUUUGUUUUUCUGUUUCUUUUUUAACCUGUGAAAUUCUAACAGCCUUAAUUUAUUUGAAAAUGAAUAGAUCUAUUAGUGUAACUAUUUUUAACCAGUAUAUUAUUAGUUGAUGUAUUAUUGGGCCACCUGUAAAUAUUGUUAAGAUUUUGGUGUUACAAAAGUACAACUGUGCUUAUGACUUUAUCAUGCAAAGAUUAUAUUUGUACAAAUGUAGUAGAUCUGGAUUUGCCAGAUGAUUUACGACUUAUUGUUGUAAAGUUAUUAUAAUGAGACUAUAAUAAUAAUACACAUUCUAAAAACAUAUAUACAUAGUCUGUAAUUAUUGUACAAUAAUAUUUCAAAAAUCAAAAAAAUAUAUUUUUACUUCAUUAUCCCCUUUCAAAUAUAUAGAUUUGCAUUACAAAAAAUAUGUAAUUUAUUAUGAAAUUUUAACGAUAAUUAAAAGUAAUAUAUUGUAUAUUUCUUAUAAGGUUAAACAUAAAUCUCAAUAGAUGUGUCAGUAAAUAUUAUUUUUUAAAAUUUAGAAUUAUUCACUACAUGGAAUAUUAAAUUGUAUUAUAAUAUAUAAAAUCUAAUAUACUUUAAACUUGUGUAUAUUUAUAAAUUGAAUACUCUAGAUACGUGUUUUUUUUCUACUUUUACUAUAAUUUGUAUUUUAUCUUUCUAAUUUAUAUUGCAUAAAAUAUCAAUUUGUUUUAUUUUCAAAAUUUCUCUAUCAAUAAUUUUUAAUAUAUUUUUUGAUAAAAAUGAAUGAUUGGGUAGACUGAUUUUGGGGGUUUUUUUUUCUUAACCAAAUGUGUACACAUUAAUAAAAUAAUGUGAGUCAAGUAAAAUUUAAUACGAUUUAUGUUAUGUAUUAAGGACACAUUUGUUUAAAAUAUAUCUAUUAGGCUUCUAAAGCAAGCAAUGGAACACAUAUUAGCAGCAAUUCUGUUACAGCUUCGACCAACUUCAAAGGGUCAGGCUCAGUGGCCAGUAGUUCAAACGAGCAGAUUCUGAUUUAGCCAAAAAUGGUGACAUUCCAACAACUGAAGAAUUUUACUUAUCUUCGCCACUCACGAAGGUCUGGACAUGGUGUCUUGACAAGGUUGAAUUGUGAACAACACCUUUCAAAUGCAGUAAUCUCACACAUUACUAAGCAAUUGCAAUUUUAGAGUUGAAACGGAUGUUCAGAUCAGAGCAUGUCGCACUCCGAAGCAAACCAAAACUUCCCAGUUUGGAGAGACAGCAAAAUGAGGGACGAGCAAUUCAAUCAAGUUGGCAGCCAGAAUCACUGAAUUUCAGAUGAAUAACUUCGUAUAUUUUUUGAAAGUUUACAAAAAUUACACUCAUUUUUACACAAGAAACCAUUCCGCUAAUGGUGACAAUAAUUGGGUCAAUUGAACCUGAUUGACCCUUCAUACAACCCCUAUUUCUUUUGUUCAUCAAGUGUGAGAAACUCUUGUGGCUUUUUCUGACCUCUUGUGGUCCUUCAAAGCCAUUUGAACCAAAUGAUGUUUGCUUAAUAUCACGUUUAAGCAAACAAUAUCAUUCGGGUGUUCCUCAAGUAUCACUGAGAUAUAAUUUGCUUGUGUAAGCAAAUCCACAGCUAUGCAGGGAGAAGUGGGUCUUCACUAAAGAGGUGGAAGGUGAGCUAAUGGGUCCACCGUUCUACCGUCUUUGUGGAUUUCGAAGUGAAGAUGAGGCCCUGUGGAAUGGCCCGUGUUGCCAGAGAGAGCUAUGACUUGCCCCUUGCGUACAAACUGACCUGGUUGCACAUGUACGUUGUCACAGUGUGCGUAGAGUGUAAUGUAGCCAUUUCCAUGGUCCAUGCACACCGUUUUCCCGUACCCUCCUUUCCAUCCAGACCAUGUUACCUGCACCCACGAGGCACAGAUGUCGGUCCAUGAUUUCAAUACCAUGAGCGUUUUGUAAAACAAGAUUUCCGCGGCCUUGAACAUCCUACCAUCAAAUUACAUUCGCUUCAGUCUAGAACAAAACCAAAACCAAAACAAAACAAGACAAAAAAAUUCAUAAGAAAGUCGUAGAAAUGUACAAGUUCACGAGGAUAGGCAUGGAGGUGAUAUAUAACAUAUUUUAAUACUCAGUGCAUCGUCUGUGUGAAUGAUGAGGGAUAGGGCCAUUUCCACAUUCUUCUGAACAACUUUGGUAGUUGUUAUGCUCCCUAGGAAGGCAAAAUUUUACUUUUAGAGGAAAAGGGUUCAGAGAAAAUAAGGUCAUUUGACAUUUAGAGUGAUGAAAGGAAGUUGUGUGGAGCAAAUCUCACCUUGCCACUAGUUGAUGCAAUUACCUCCGUACCACGCUCAACAGCAAUGUCAAUGCCAUUGUGAAAAUACCAGCGCCCAUCUGCACAAAACCAUUUCACAAAAUGAACCACAUACGCAAAUUUUACGGAAUGUUGUAUUAUGGAGGGCUGCGAGGAUCCUUUAGUGUGGAGCUGAAGACACUUCCUACCACUACAUUUCAGAACUCAACAAAAACAUUUCACACGCCAGUAUGUCAUCUACAAGUUGAUAUGCCCACCUUUCCAGCCAUAGAAGGAGCUAAGCCAGCCACCAUGGCAGGGUAACCCAAAUGGCUCUGGUUCCCACUUCGGCAAUAUCAAUUCCACAAUUUUAUUUUGAACGAUUGGUUUCAAAGCUGGAAUAGUUGCUAGAUUUUCUUUGCGCAGCAAGUAGCGCAAGGGGGGGCCUUGCGACAGCGUCAUACAAAUCGGUUGUGCAGGAGAAGGGAUUACAAGUUCCUGGCCUACAUACAAAUGACUCGAUCCCUGCCGACAAUGAAAUGAUGGCAGAUGUCAGUAAGCAUGCUUUAGUUGGGGAAGUUCUCAUAAAGAUGGACCAGGGACACUAGCGGCGUGAAUUCACGUUGCAACGAAGAGCAGUACCGGAGGCAAGUUGUUCGACCGGCGGAUGUCGUCAAUACUGACAUGAUGCUCAUCUGCUAAGCUCCAUAACGUGUCCCCCCAAUUCGCAAUGACCCGUUUCUCUCCCUUCGUUUUGUCGUCCCCUACACAGAACGAAGAAUCAAAUUGCAUUCUUUGCAUGGGUGCUUCGAUGAUAUUCACCAACCUAAAGACUUCGUCAACAUGAUCCGUUGCAAAUUCCCAGCACUGGACAUCUUCUACCUGUUUUUGCAAUGUUACAUAAAAGAAGAAGUCGGGCAUGACUUACAGAAUCGUUUAUGUUUCGAUGAUACCGCCUUCCUUGGAAUGCGCAAAUUCUGACCAGGCUGCAAACACAAACAAGCCACCUUUUCAGCUUCUAACACAAUUAAGAUAAUCUCCAGAAGUGAUGAUCAACAACAGAAUAUGAGCAGAAACUUUCACAUGCGCAUUAAUCUCACACAUGACAGUAAAGCAACUCUGGCAGGAGAAGAAUACACAUGUCUGUGUGUGUACAAGAGAAACCAAUCAAAAUGGUUUCAUUGCAGCAAUGUCGACCAGAUAACUUUGAGAAGCUUGAACCGUAAACAAAUCUGAGUUACCAAAUACGAUAGAAACCUUCGAAACCUCUAAUAGAUGUAAAUUCUUACAAGAUGUUGUUAGCUCACAAGACAGCAACCUAAACCGAAUUCCAAAAACGCCCGCUCCCAUCCACAACCAAACAUCAUGUAUUCCUUCGCACAACCCUCCCCUCAAGGACCCAUCUCACUUAUUAGUUUCAAGCAUCUCUCCUUCUGCAACUAGAAACAGACGCAGCUGAUACCACCGCAUGACUAGGGAAUAAUGUAGAGCAGAUCCGGCGAGAAAUAAACAAAGUAACAAACAAAAAUGCCCUUCAUAUUGUUAAAUAUGUCAAUAUCUUAGCAAGAGAAAUUCUUCGACCAGAUAGUUGGGGGACUGAUCCUCCCAGAGUAUGUUGGUCAAACUGCAGGAUAUAUCGAUCUAUUCCACAACUAAAGAUGAUUGCAGGAUGAAGUUCAAAGGAUGCACCGUGUCUUUCAAGGAUCAAGGACAAUUUUCAACGUAAAUAGAAGACAAGGAAACCUUUAUGAUAUCAUUAGAUUCGCAGUCUAGAAAACAAAGACUUUGAGAGUAUUAUGAACAAAUUCUUCAAGUUAAGGAUCCCUCGAACCUCCCAACAACAGAACCCCCGACAAUGUCGUAUUAAAAAUACUAAUCCAAUACUUUUGGUUGCGCUUUUCUAGAUUAAUCCUCACACACUAAAUUAAAAACCACUACGAAGUAAAGACAUUCCUAUUGAGAAAUGAAAGCACAGCUAAUCAACUCGUGUUCAGGAGCACUAAAAUAUUCUAACGUAAAAAAUAAGGAAUAAGAGGGAGAGAAAGAAAAAAUCACGAGCUAGAAACCAGGAAUAAGAACACGAGGUAACGGAUCCAACGUCCUACGACAAAGCGAGCACGACAUGGAACACGGAGAACGAAUCGAAACAGCGAAGAUUCCACACAAGUUUUGUACAAUGCCAUGGACGUAGAUAAAGCCCAGAACAAAUGUUGAGGAGCUGCUACCUUCAGAUGCUCGAUAUUCGCUAUGCUAUUAACACGUUGCAAGACCUCCAUUGGAAUUCCAACCAGCCUUGAUAUUUCUGACAAACAAUCGCCAUGGCGCACCACAAGAGUCGAGAACUCCGCAUCCUGGUAGCAAUCUCGUGAGAAAUCCCGAGUGUUUUUUGGGUCAGAAUGGGAUGACGGGGACUGACUUCCACAAGCCCACAAGUGGAAGACUUGAAGGACCAAUCCUAGUUUGUUUUCCGAUUCGAAGAGGGAUGGAGCACUUUUCGAAUUAGCAGUGCCACCUCUCCUUAUCAAUGUGUCUUCUAACUCCCUUGCAAUGCCUCGAGACUCAGCAUCGGCUUCGUCGUCUUCUCUGAAUAAUGACAAUAGGUUUUUCCGCUUCACUACAAUUUGCGUUUCUGAUUCUGCCAUUUGUUCUUUCUUCGGUAGCAGAUCUCGCAACCAUGAUGACAUUUCGCAAGUCUCUGUAGAUAAAGAACUUCUCUAUCCUUGAACUUCUACGGAAUUUCUAGCUUUGCUACAGUAUGGAGGCACCAAGAGACUAUAUGCCACUGCUGCGCAUCCACAAACCUCACCCUCAUCAUUGUGCAGACAAGACCGGAACUGCGCCAAACAGGGCAAAUGAAUUCCUCGCAAUUUGCUUACGGCAAGUUCGAGGCAAAACAGACAAGGAGAAGCUCGUUCAAUUGAGGGAGAGACAGCUGCGACCAAUCGACGAGACUGAGAAUGAUGAGGAGGGCGGGACAAUCAGCGGGCAAAUUGAACGCGUCUGCGGAACAAAUGAGAUAAGCUGAAGAACAAACAUUCUGACGACCUACCGAAGCCUCCACAACCUGCUCCGGAUCGCCAUACGCAAUGAAGAAAGAGCUUUACACGCACAAGGGUGAGACGGAGACCACAUCAGAAACCAAGCUGAAGCAAAUCAAUGUAUUCGACGACCACGACGAGCGUCGAUGGCAGGCCAAUGCUUCGUUGCCUUUCUCGUGGUGGCGCUCACCAGAGGCCACAGAAGGGGAGGUAAAAGGAGGCGCGAGGGGGUGGGAAAUAGAAAAGGCUGAGGAGGAGGGGCAGGAAGGGGAGGGGAUCCUCCGCGACACCUCCGAUCUGCGAGGAAGACGUUGGCGCGGGUCUAAAAUGAAAUCGGCACCAGGAAUCAACCCCCCGAGCUCCCACGAAUUGCCCAGACCAGUCCGAGAUUAGUCUCGCGAGACUAUUCCAAAACUCCUCAGUAAAACCUGCGAUGGCAUCGUCGCCACUCGGGAAUCCUGCACCAGGAAAUUAUUGGUAAAUGGGCCACAAUCUCUUAACAUAGUCGGAAUCACUCCGCGAGCGAGCGACCACCCUCUCUCAAAUGAAGAAGGGACACACCGCGAAUCGCCUAGCACCACCAACGAACGACCACAUCACGACGAUAGCAGUCCUUCGGUUCAAUGAUUACGCAGCUCUCGUCGCGAUAAAACCCACCAACUGGAUUGCGUUAUGGAUGUCCGAUCAACGAGCUUCGACGAUUACGCAACACUUUCUCAGCGACAAUCGACGCGAGACUGUAGCGCCUGUGUCGGAUGCUCGCAGCCCUCACACCCCUGCAGGGAAACGCACGUGUCUCAUCUACCCAAUUUUCAUUCGCCCGUGUUGAUUCGUUGGUCACAAAGUCAACUCCCAGCCUCGUUGCGCUGCAGUCCAGAAAUGAACGACAUCUUUUUCAUAAAAGGAGAGAGAUACUUUUUAUGGGAAAAAGAAAAAGUUUCGGGUGGUGAGUUCGUCUGGUUUUGAAUUCGAAGAUGGAUGAGUGUAGGGUGGAUGUAUGGAUUAAUGUCGUGAACGCGAAUGAUUUCUGUUAGUUUGUGGUACCAUCUGGGUGGGUGGGUAACAUGUGUGUAGUUUUGAGGAUGUGUGAAGGGGUCCCUUGUGUUUUUAUGUGUUGAAGGGACUGCCUUCAUUCCAUUUAAGAACACACUUGGAAUGUGUGAGUGAGUUUGAGAGAGGGUGUAUUGAAACUUCAUAAAGGAAGAGAGGGAGAGGGGGCCAAUUGAUGGGGAUGACCAACCCCUAAUUUUUAAUGAUGAAUUAAAUGGAAUAAAUAAAGGAGGGCAGUGGUGUAAAACCCAACAGCACCACCCAAUAUUCAUCACCAGCACAUUUUUCGCAUGUGUUAGGAAAACUUGUUACAAAAAUAUGUGUUUCAAACUUGUUUGUUUAUGAAGAGGUACAACAAUGGGAAUGAUGAUAGGAAUUAUUUGGUAAACAUGCACUAUAGUGGAUAACAGAAACAAAAUUGUGGGCAAUACAAUCAUAUAAGAACAUAUAUUCAUGUUAGAUUGAGAUUGUGAACAGUGGCAUGACUUUGGAUUUCCACUGAACCCAAUUGGAAUUUAUUCAGAUGCUUGUAUGUGUGAAUGUAUGAUUUAUUUGAAAUUUUAUUUGUGUGUGUGUAUUUAUAUAUAUAUACAUGCAAAACAUUUGGUUAGCAGUAGUUUAUUUAUUUCUUUUAUUACUUUUGGAAUCAUUAUGUGCAUUAUUUAGCUAUGUACGCUAUUUUAAUGUCUUUGGCUAUAUCAUGAAACAUGUUUAUGUAUAUAUAUAUACACACAUUGAGUUCAGUAUGUAUUCACUACCCUGUCAACUGUAAAUAAAGUUGCCUAUUCCAUAAAUAUACUGUACAUAAAAAUAUAAAUAAAACAUCAGAUGACAUUUUAAAAUGUAUCCUGUGAUAAGAAAAUCAACCCUAACUUCGGCAUAAUUUCCAGUCCCACAAAUUCCUGAACUUGAACUUGGAGUGUGAAGAAAUUCCCUUUGAAUAUUGGCCACCAUGAUGUUAUUAUUUCCUAUAGUUGUCAAUCAAACAGUGGAUAUGUCUGACAUGUGUACAUACUCACAGAGUGAAAAAUUCCAUGUGUACAUAUUUAUUUUUAUUUUUAUUUUGUAUACUUUUUAUAUUUUUCUGUUUCUUCUACUCAUAUGUUUGGGUUGUCAGCUUGUUUUAGAAGUUAAUGACAUCGUAAGGAAGAAAAUAUUUACAACCCAAAUGACAACCUGGAUGUACAUCAGUUCAUUUUCUUGUUAGUAACAAUACCAUUCAAAAUAAACCAGUGAUAAAAAAAAUAAAAAACAAAAUCAGAUAAAAAAGUCAGGUGAUUUUUUUUCAUAAACGAACAAUUAACUACUGAAAAUAAUACAUAAAUAAGAUAAACCAGCAUCACUUUUUCGCCCUCCUUCCCACCUAAUGUUUGUUUUGUUAUGACUGAUAUAUUUACGUGUGGGUCAGUUGACUAGCCUUACCUUAGUUAGCCGGAGUCUUAAGCUUAAAAACGAAUAAAUCUCAAAAUCUCAAAAAAGUAAACACAGAAAAAAGGGAGAAGAAGACAAUAAAAGUAAUGAAUAAAUAAAAUUGAAAUACAAAAAAAAAGAAAAAAAAAAAGAAAAAAAAAAAGAAAAAAAAGGGGCUCCAGUGACCAAUAGCAACGACAAUUAGCAGAUGGGUCCGAUUAGUUUAGCCUGCAUUAAAAACACACUGGCUCGUUUAACGACCCAAUUAACAAUUGCUAAUUUAGGAGAGGAAUAGAAAGCCAGAUGAAGGUUCUGUUUAUUACAAAGAUAAAGGCUGGUAUACCACGUGGACUCACUGCCAAAUUUUGCAGUUAAAGCCUGGAGAAGGAAAGCGAGGGAGAUAUACGUGGCGCAUACUAUUUCCCGCGCUCAGGUUUUGUCACCCCUGUGGUCCUAUUGCCACGCCAGAGCGCUUAGGGCGCCAACUCUGGCCUUGGCGGGUUCAGCUCCCGCUAAUUUAGAGAAACCCAUCGCCAAUUUAGGCUGGGGGUUUUAGAGGGUUUUGUCUCAUGUGGGAGUUUUUUAGGGUUUGGAUUGGAGGGACGUUUCAAUUCUUAUUUUUGAGAUGGAGCCACCAAGUUGGUUUUUCUACCUCAAACUCUUGUUUUUCUUUCUAUACUUGCAUGUAUAUCCAUCUAUUUAUAUGUUUUUUGUUCUUGAUUUCAAAAUUGUGUGGAUUUGGGUCCAUUUUGGAUCAGAAAGUUGAUAAUAGGAGAAGAAUGUUUUUUUUGUUGUAUUUCUAAUUUUUUAAUAUCCUUUCAUUUUUAUCUCCCCUUUUAUCUCUCCUUUGAUAGUAGACAUCUAUUAUGAAAUACUCAUUUGGAAAAGUGCUUUGUAAUGAAUGCAUGGAUUUAAUUGUAUAGUUUGUAUUCAUUUGCAGAAUACUCUUAACAACAAAGGUGUAAAGACAUGGUGGCUUGGAUAUGCAACUUUUGUGUAUUAUGUUUAAUGAUAAUAAUAAUAUUAUGUUUAACGAUAAUAAUAAUAUUAUGUACGAAUUAUAUUUAAUAUUAUUGCUCAUAUAUGAAAUUAUAUUUUAAUUAACAUUUUAAUUAUUAUUUUUAAGCAUAAAUUUUGUGUUUAAAUUAGAAAGUAGAAAUGAAUAAAUACACAUAAUAUCAUAUAAUGAAUACAACUAUUCUAUCCUAAUAAGUUUAAGAUAUGAAGUAAUAGUAACUUAUAUUAGUUUUGAAGAAAGUGAAAUUUUAGGAUUUAGCUUAUUAUAUUUUAGACAAUGUAUUAAUUUAAAAAUAUCAAGUAAAUUAAUUUAUACAAGUGAAUGUUAAAAAAAAAUCACUUAAAUAUAUAAAUUAAAAAGAAUGAGUGAAAUAAGUCACAAUCUAAAUCAUUUGAAUCUUUCAAAGCUUGCAAUAUAUUUUUAAAAAUCUAAGUAUCAUAAUUAUAUUGCAUGCUAUAAAGUAAUAGAGUUAUUUGAUAUUUAAAAAAUAAAUAUUACUUUGAACAUCUAUGGAAAAUUAUGUUAAAAUAAAAGUAGAAUAAAUUACCUUAUAGAAGAUAUUAAAUUAGAUAAGUUAUUAGUGGUCAAAGGUUUGACUCUUGGUAUAUGGUAAGGGCAUCCAAUGGAUGUAGGACGAAGUCAUGGAUCAAGAUUCAAAGUCAAAAGGAUAAAGUAUUAAUAAGGGAAUAUUCAAAGACUAGGUAUGAGUCAUUAGUGUGUGUCAUAGGAUAUCCUCAAGUCUCGUGAGAUGCCAAAAGGAUCCUAGGACCAUGUAUAUAAAAGUCAAAAGGUGGAAGUUGUCUUUUAUGGCAGCAACCACUACCUAUAAGUAAUGGAUAUUGGAAGUGAGAGAUAUCUUAUUCCAUACUCUCUUUGUGUGCAACCUUGCUGAUGAUAAGUAUUGUGUCUUCAAAGUGCUUGUUCUUCAAUAGGUUAUGGGCCCACUCACCUUUACUUGUGAGUUUUGAAGUACUUUGAAGUCUUUCUUGUUGUGAAGAAUAGAUCUUAUGGUUAUUAUUGAAGUUUGAGUUUGCUCUCUUCUAACCCUUCUUAUGCAUCUAGUUAUUGAUGUAGUUUUUGUUUUUACUUAUUGUUAAGUGCAUUGAUAGUCUUGGUUAUUGUUAGACUCCAUAUAAUGAUGUUUUAGAACUUUAGUAUUGUAUUUCUUUGCUGAAUUUCAUCAUUGGUGCUCUAACUUUGUGCUUUCAUAUACUUAACUUCAUAAGAGAUUCUCCUAUUUGUUAUAAGAAGUGUUUUCUGUGGUUAGAAGCAUUUUGUGAAAGAGGGGUGAUUGAAGAGUGGCAAAGCUUAUGUAAGGGAUUUAGAUAGAAUAUAAGACUUGUGAAAAGUCUUAUAUGUGAAGUUGAGAGUGAUACAAGAGUGAAAUCACUUGUAUAAUUACAAAGAGGGCAUUUUGGAUUUCUAAGGAAGCAACACCUUCUUGUUGAUUUCUAGAGUUCUAUCUUCUCUUUUCUUGAUUUUCUUUCACACAUCCCUUCCUUAAACAUGUUUUUAAGUGAAGGUGAGAGCUUGAGAGUGAUUGAAAAGUUUAGAGGUGACAACUUUUACCAUUGGAAGAAGAAAAUGGAGCUUUUAUUGGCUUCAUUGGAUCUUUGGGACAUUGUUGAUAAAAAUGAAGACCCUCCAAGUGAUAAUGCUGAUAUCAAGGUGAAGAAGGAGUACAAACGUCGUGAAAGGAAGGAUUUUGGGAUGAUUGCAAUAAACCUUGAUGAUGCAAAUUUUUCACAUGUUAUAGCUUGCAAUGGACCAACGAAAGCAUAAAAGACUCUUUGCAAUAUCUAUGAGAGUAGAAACCUUACCAACAUCCUUUGGACAAGGAAGAAGUUCUUGACAGUAAAGAUGGAAGAAGGAGAUGACCUCAUGACUCAUGUUAAUAAGGUAAAAGUACUUGCUAACCAACUAGGAGUUGUUGACAAAUUAAUUGAUGAUAAGGAUAUUGUAUUGACAUUGCUCAUGAGCCUUCUCGAAUCCUACAAUUACCUUAUUGUGGCAUUGGAGUCCAUCAACAUGAAGGAGCUUACCAUGAACUAUGUCACGUCAAGAUUCACCCAUGAAGUGACCAAGAAGAAAGAAAAGGAGCUUGCAAGGGAAGAUUUGGCUCUAUUUUUAAGACAAGACAAAGGUAGCUAUUUUCACCAACAUGAUAAUUCAAAAAGUAAUAUGAGGAAUUGCUAUAUUUGUAGAAAACUAGGUCAUUUUGCUAGAAAUUACUACAAGGCCAAGAAAAGACAUAGAGAGAAUGCAAACAAUGCUAGUGAUAGUUUUGGUAGAAAUGAGUAUGCUUUCAUGGCAAGAAAAGGAGCCUCCACGGCUGCUAUUUCGAAGUGGAUUAUAGAUUCAGGUGCUACUAAGUACAUGACACCAUACAAGUGUUCAUUUGACACUUAUGAAGAAAUUCCAACAAUAAAAGUGUGGUUGGGAGACAAUGGCAUGGUGCAAGCCAUUGGAAUUGGCUCCAUUGUGGUGGAGAUUGUUGUGAAGGACCAAAUCAAGAGGAUUAGAUUGAAGGAAGUCUUAUAUGUGCCAAAAAUGAAGAAGAACCUCCUUUCAGUGAGCAAACUUUUAUCACAUAAUUGUAAGGUUCAAUUUGAUAUGAAUGGAUGUUUUGUCAAGACAUUGGAUGGCCAAUAUGUUGCCAAAGGCCUUAGAGAUGGAAAUCUCUACUUCAUCAAUUACAAGAAGGUGAAUGGAGUUGAAGUGGCGGUAUUUAUUGAUUUUCCAUAAGAUGAAGACAAGUUUGGAAUUUGGCAUCAACGACUUGGUCAUUUGAAUGCCAAAUGCAUGAAGGAGCUCUAAUCCAUAGUAAGUAGCUUGGAUCUUGGUCAAUUUAGCUACAAUUCCAUGAUACUUGCUUGAGAAGGAUGUAUACAAGGCAAACAACAAAAGGCUUUAUUUCGAAGUGGAGUUGCAACAUGUGCAACUAAAUUGUUGAAGAUUGUGCACUCUGAUGUUUGUGGACCAAUGAAGACACCAUCAAUUGGAGGAGUAAGGUACUUUGUCACAUUCAUAGAUGACUUUUCAAGAAAGGUGUGGAUUUAUAUCAUUAAAGCUAAAAGUGAAUGUUUUUCAAGAUUUAAGGAGUUUAAGGCUCUUGUAGAGAAAUAAUGUGACUGCAAGAUCAAAGUGUUGAGAACGAACAAUAGAAGUGAAUACAUUUCAAAGCAUUUUGAUGAAUUCAUAAAAAUUCAAGGUAUUACAAGACAAACCUCUACUCCUUACACUCCACAACAAAAUGGAGUUGCUGAAAGAGUAAAUUGGACCAUUGUGGAGAUGGUAAGGAGUAUGCUUCAUACACAAAACCUUGGGCAUGAAUAUUGGGCAGAAGCUAUGGUAAAUGCGGUGUACACAAGGAAUAGGUGUCUUACAAGUGCACUUACAUCAAUGAUUCCACAAGAAGCUUGGAGUGGGAAGAAACCUUGUAUUUCACAUAUGAACAUUUUUGGAUGCAUUGCUUAUGCAAAGGUACCAAAUUAUAUGAGGUCCAAACUUGAUGCAAAAGGUACAAAAUGUGUAUUUGUUGGAUAUUGUGAAGGUACCAAAGCAUAUAGGCUAAUGUGUUUAGAAACCAAGAAGAUCAUCAAAAGUUGUGAUGUAGAGUUUUUGGAGCAUAAGAGUGUUUUUGAACACUUGGAAGAAUGUCCAAGUGGAAAUAAAGGUGUGUUUGUGGACACAUCUUCAAGUUCAGCAAAGAAAGAAGAAGAAAAAGAUGAUGAUGACAAUGAAGAUGGAAGAAAUAGAAGUCAAGAUCAAGUGCUAAAGAAGAUAAAUCAUAGUGUGCCUUCAAUUACUAGAACCAACAAUGAAGACAAUGAAGAUAUUGAAGGUGAUGAUGAUGAUGGAGAAUAUCAACCUUUGAGUGAGAAAAGACAAGCAUUGAGGAAGAAGAAGGAUGGAAUGCAAGAAGAAGGGUCUUCUUCAAAUGAAAGGAGAUAUCUUUUGAGAGAAAAAAAACCACAUGGUGAAUGGUGGAAGGACCACAUCUUUCCUCAAAUAAGUGAAGAACAUGCCAAUGUUGCACUUUUUGCUGAUCCAUUGAGUUUAUGAGAUGCAAUGAAGUCCACUGAUGCGUUGAAGUGGGAGAAUGCUAUGGAAGAAGAGUACAAAUCAUUCAUGGACAAUGGAACAUGGAAAUUGAUUCAACUUCCAUCAAAUCAAGCUUCAAUUGGUUGUAAGUGGGUGUUUAAAAUAAAGAAGGAUGCAAUGGAUAAUAUUAUGAGGUAUAAGGCAAGAUUAAUUGCGAAAGGCUAGUCACAAGUUGUUGGUGUGGAUUUCAAUGAGACAUUUGCUCCUAUGGCCAAAUUCACCACCCUUAGAACCAUUGUGGCAAUUAGAGCAGAAAUGGACUUGGAGAUGCAUCAAAUGGAUGUAAAGACAACUUUCUUGAAUGGAAGUUUGGAAGAAGACAUUUAUAUGGAAUAAUCUCAAGAAUUUAUUGAAGAAGGCAAACAACACCUUGAUUGUAAGUUGAAGAAAUCUUUGUAUGGGCUAAAGCAAUCACCAAGAGCAUGAUACCAACACAUUGAUACAUUCUUUGUGAGUGAAGGAUUUAUAAGGAGUGAGGCUGAUCAUUUGUUAUAUGUGAUGCAAUCAAAUAGGUUCAUAUUGAUUGUCAUCCCCUAUGUUGAUGAUUUGAUCAUCUUAAUUAAUACAUUGAAGAUGAUAUAUUGGUUGAAGGUAAAGUAAGAAAAGGAGUAUGAAAUGAGUGAUUUGGGAGAGCUUCACUAUUAUUUAGGAGUGGAAUUUGUAAGAGAUCGUGCUAAGAAGACCAUUACAAUGAGCCAAAGCAAGUACAUUAAAGAAGUGUUGAAACAGUUCAACAUGGAGGAGUGUAAGCCUAUUGGAACACCAUUGGAGGCAAACUUGAAGUUGAUGAAGCUCAUGGAUGAAGAGUUUGCUGAAGUUGAAGGUCAAAUACAAGAUGUUCCAUAUAAGGCAGUAGUGGACUCACUUAUGUAUGCAAUUGUUGGCACAAGGGUAGAUCUUGCAUAUGCAGUGAGUGUUGUCAGUCAACACAUGUGAAAGGCUAGACCAAUCUAUUGGGCAACCAUUAAAAGGAUCAUGAAGUACUUAAAAGGCACUUUGAACUUCAAAUUAUGCCUUAGAGGUGAUAACAUUAGUUUGCAUGAUUAUUGUAAUACGGAUUGGGUUGGUGAUGUAAAUGAUAGAAGGUCAAUAACAGGAUAUGUAUUCUUUGUUAGAGUGGGAACAAUUUCAUGGAAUUGCAAGAGACAACCAAUAAUUACGAAGUCAACAAUGGAGGCAGAGUACAUGGCAGUAAGCCAUGGUGCAAUGGAGGCAAUAUGGUUGAGACAACUUUUGGAGGACAUUGGAGAUGUGUAAAUCGAAGCAACUCCAAUGGAGUGUGACAAUCAAGGAUGUCUUGUAUUUACAAAGAAUCCAAAACAUCAUUCAAGGACCAAGCACAUUGACAUUCAACAUCACUUUAUAAGAGAGAAUAUUGAAAUGAGAGUGAUUGAUAUGAAGUAUUGUACAACGGAGGAAAUGCUUGCUGAUUUGUUGACAAAGGCAUUAGUAAAAGAUAGACACCACAUGUUGACAAAGGCAUUAGGAUUAAAAUCCAUUUGACCAAUAGCAAAGUGGGAGUGUUAAAGUAAAAGUAGAAUAAGUUACCUUAUAGAGGAUAUUAACUUAAGUAAGUUGUUAGUAGUCAAAAGUUUCACUCUUGGUAUAUGGUAAGGGCAUCCAAUGGAUAUAGGACGAAGUCAUGGACCAAGACUCAAAGUCAAAAGGAUAAAGUAUUAACAAGGGAAUAUCCAAAGUUUAGGUAUGAGUCAUUAGUGUGUGUAAUAGGAUAUCCUCGAGUCUCGUGAGAUGCCAAAAGGAUCCUAGGACCACAUAUGUAAAAGUCAAAAGGUGGAAGUUGUCUUUUAGGGCAGCAACCACUACCUAUAAGUAAUGGGUAUUGGAAGUGAGAGAUAUUUUAUUCCAUACUCUCUUUGUGUGUAACCUUGCUGAUGCUAAGUGUUGUGUCUUCAAAGUGCUUCUUCUUCAAUAGAUUCUGUUAAUAGUUUUUUUAAAAAAAUGUCAAAUUUUAUAUUUUAUAUUUGAAAAAAUUCUACACUAUUAUGAUGUGUGUUAUUCAAUAAUUAAAUUAUAGAUUAUACCAACAAGUUAUGUUUCUAUAAUUGAGUUUAUUCUCUACAAAAAUAAAGUCUUAUGAACUAUCAUUUAAUGUUUUGUAACAUUCUUUAAUGAAUGUGUAUGUAUAUAUAUAUAUAUAUAUAUAUAUAUAUAUGAAAUGCAAUGAUUAAUGCAUAAAACAUUGCUUCAAUUAAUUAAAAAAAAACGUUAUCAUAAAAUGACAACAACAUCUACUCUACACAAAUAUAUUUUAACAUAUUGUUAACAAGGUUUACUCGAAUUGAAGCAAAAUAAUGUAUUUAUAGUCAAUGAAUGUAAGAUUUGAAGCAUUAACAAGAUUUUAAAUAAAUUAUAAGAAAAUAUAAAAAAUUACCAUAACUCAUAUAAAAGCAAAAUGUAUAAAAAAUAAAGUACUUUAUAACUAUAUAUAUAGUAGUAUAAUUAGCUUCAAUCAAUAUAUUUGAUAUAAUUUUUUAGGUAAAAAAGUGAUUAUUAAUUAUAUAUAUUUGUAAUUAAAUUAAUAAUAAUUAUAACUAUUGUUAUAUAAUUUUAUAAAAUAUUUGAUCUUUUAUAAAUAAAUUAUUUAAAUAUAAUUUGUAAUAACAUAUAUCAUCUAUAAUAUAGGUAUGGAUAGAAAAUGUUAUUGUAAAAAAAGAACAAAGAAAAAAAUCGGCAAAAAUUAUUUUAAAAAGUUUAUUAUAUAAUAAUAUCUAAAAUAAUAAGCAAUUCUAUUUAAAAAUAUUUUAAUAAAUUGAUAUUCUUUUUUAAUUCUAAAUUAAUUUAUAUUGAAGUUUUUUUUUUUUUUUUUUUUUUUUUGAAGUUACAACAUAUAUCAUUAGCAAAGUUGUAUAUAAAGAGAAUAUGGAAUAAGAUCUCUUUCACUUCCAACAUCUAUUACUUAUAGGUAGUGGUUGUUGUCUUAAAAGAAAACUUCCUCUCUUUGACUUUUACACAUAUGGUCCUAGGAUUAUUUGGCAUCUAAUUUAUUACAAAGGUAUCUUAUGUCCAACACUAAUUAUUCUUACCUAAUCUUUAGAUAUUUUCUAAUUGAUACUUUAUUCUUUUGACUUUGAUUCUUGGCCUUUGAUCUCAUCAUAUAGCUAUAAGUUAUAUUUUUUAUAUACCAAGAGUUAAUCCUUUGAUUAUUAGCAACUUAUCUAAGAUAAUAUCUUCUACAAAGUAACUUAUUUAAAUAUUACUUAUUUACAUUAAUACUCACACUUUGCUAUUGGUCAAAGGCUUUUAAUCCUAAUACCUUUGUCAAUAUGUGAUGUCUAUUUUUUAUUAAUGCCUUUAUCAACAAAUCAGCAACCAUGUCUUUUCUUAUACAAUAUUUCAUAUCAAUGACUCCCAUUUCAAUCUUUUCUUUUAUAAAGUGAUGUUGAAUGUCAAUGUGCUUGGUCCUUGAAUGAUAUUUUGGAUUCUUUGCAAAUGUAAGGCAUCUUUGAUUGGAUUAUUCCUUUAGAAUUGCUUCCAUUUGCACUACUUCAAUGUCUUCCAAAAAUUGUCUUAUCGAUAUUGAAUCCAUUGUAUUAUAGCUUGUUGCAAUGUAUUUUGUAUUUAUUGUUGAGAUUACAAUUUUUGAUUGUAUCUUAUUUCAUACCCAUUUUUUUAAUUUUACCUUUAAUCAAUCCAUAAUUUUAAAGAUAUUGGUUAAAAUGAUCAAAUCAUCAACAUAGAGAAUAACAAUCAAUAUGAACUCAUUUGAUUGCAUCAUAUAUAUGAAAUGAUCAUCUUUACUACUUAUAAAUUCUUCAUUUAUAAAAAAUACAUCAAUACAUUGGUACUAUACUCUUAAUAAUUAUUUGAGCUUGUACAAAGAUUUCUUCAACUUACAAACAAAAUAUUGUUUGACUUCUUCAACAAAUCCUUGAAGUUGAUCCAUAUAGAUGUGUUCUUUCAAAUUCUAUUUAAGAAAGCCGUCUUCACAUCUAUUUGAUGCAUUUCUAAGUCUAUUGCUAUCUCAAUUAUUACAAUACUUUUAAUGGUGGUGAAUUUGGCCAUAGGAGCAAAUGUAUCAUUGAAAUCAAUAUCAACAACUUGUGAGUAGCCUUUGAAAAUUAAUUUAGCCUUAUAUCUCAUAAUCUUAUUUAUUGUAUCUCUUUUGAUUUUAAAUACCUACUUUCAACCAAUUAAAAAUCAAUUUGGUAGAAAUUGAAUCAAUUUUCAUGUUUUAUUUUUCAUGAGUGAUUUGUAUACUUUUUUCAUGGUAUUUUUCUUAUUCAUAGUAUCCAUAGAAUUCAUUAUAUUACACAAAUUCAAUGGAUUAGCAAAGAAUCCAACAUUGAAAUAUCCUUCACUUACUUGAAAAAAAUAUUAUUCUUCCACCAUAUACCAAGUUAUUUUCUAUCUCUUAAAAGAUAUCUCUUUUCAUUUAUUGAAGAUUCACCUUCAUUCACUCCAAUGUCUCUUGCAAGCUUCUUCUUUCUUAAAACUUGUUUCUUUAAAUUCAAAGAUUGGUAUUGCUCAUCAUCGUUAUCAUCUUCAAUAUCUUAAUUAUCUUCAUUGCUAGUUCUUGCAAUUAUAGAAAUACUUUGAUCUAUCUUCUUUGAUUCUUCAUCUUGUUUUGUAUUUCCACCAUCUUCAUUGUUACCAUUUUCUUCUUCUUUCUAUGUUACAAUUAAAGAUGUGUCCAUAAAUACACCAUUACUCCAGCUUGGACACAUUUCAAAGUACUCACAAGCAUUUUUAUGUUCAAAAAAUUCUACAUUACAACUCUUAAUGAGCUUCUUGGUUUCUAAAUACAUUAGUUUAUAUGCUUAAGUGCCUUCACAAUAUCUAAUGAAUAUACAUUUUAUAUAUUUUGCCUUAGGCUUAGACCUUAUAUAAUGAAGUACCUUUACAUAAGCAAUGCAUCUAAAAAUUCUCAUAUAUGAAAUACAAGGUUUCUUGCUAUUCCAAGCUUCUUGUAGAAUCAUUGAUGUAAAUGUACUUAUAAGGCACCCAUUCCUUGUCUACACUGCUGUAACCAUGGCUUUUGUCAACUAUUCAUAUCUAAAAUUUUGUGCAUGAAGCAUAUUCCUUGCUAUCUCUAUGAUGAUGUGAUUUGCUCUUUAACAACUCUGUUUUGUUGUAGAGUGUAAAGAAUAGAGGUUUAUCUUGUAAUACCUUAAAUCUUCAAAAAUUCAUCAAAAUACUUUGAUAUAUACUCACUUCCAUUGUCUGUGCACUACACUUUAAUCUUGCACUGAUAUUACUUUUCUACAAGUGCCUUAAAUUCUUUAAACUUUGAAAAAUACUCACUCUUAGCUUUAAGGAUGUAAAUCCAUAUUUUUUUUCAAAAAUCAUCAAUAAAUAUAAAAAAUUAUCUUCUCCUUCUAUUUAUGGUAUUUUUAUUGGUCUACAAAUAUUAAAAUAUCCAAACUCCAAUAAUAUGCUAGCACGUAUUGCAACUCCACUUACAAAUAAAGCCUUAUGUUGUUUUUUUUGGAUACAAUUUUCACAAGUGUCAUGGUAUUAUCACUGAAUUGGCUAAGAUUCAAGCUACUUACCAAAAAUUAGAGGUCUUUCAUGUUUUUGGCAUUCAAAUGACUAAGUCAUUAAUGCCAAAUUUUAAACUUAUUUUAAUUUUGUAAAAAAUCAAUAAAUACUGCUAUAUCAAUUCUAUUGAUCUUCUUAUAAUUGAUGAAGUAGAGGUUGCCAUCUCUAAGGCCUUUAAAAAUAUGUUAUCUAUUUAAUAACUUUACGAAAUAUCCAUUUAUGUCAAAUUAAAUCUUACAACCAUUAGAUACAUUUUUACUCAACAAAAAGAGAUUUUUCUUCAUCUUUGGCAUAUGUAAGACUUCUUUCAAUUUGAUCCUUUUGAUUUGGUCUUUUAUUACAAUCUCAACCAUAAUAAAGUCAAUUUUAAUGGCUUGUACCAUAUCAUUGUCUUCCAACCAAACAUUUAUUGUUGGAAUUAUUUUAUAAGUGUUAAAUAAAUACUUGUAUAGUGUCAUAUCCUUAGUAGCAUCCAAAUCUAUAAUCUACUUGGAUAUGGUAGCUAUAGAUGCUUCUUUACUUGCUAUGAAAGUAUAAUUAUUUCUACCAAAAUUGUUAGAAGCAUUGUUUUCAUUUUUUUUUAUUUCUUUUCUUUGUCUUAUAGUAAUUUCUAAUAAAGUAUCCUAAAUUUCUAUAAAUAUAAUUUUUUUAUAUAGCUUUUUAAAUUAUUAUAUUAGUAAAAAUAACUAUCUUUGCUUUGUCUUAAAAAUAGAGCCAAAUCUUCAAUUUGAAGCUAUUUUUUCUUUUGUCUUAGUUACUUCAUAGAUAAGUCUUAACGUGAUAUAAUUCAUAGUUAGUCUUUUUAUGUUGAUUGAUUCUAAUGCCAUAAUAAAGUAGUUAUAGGAGUCAAAAAUGUUCAUAAGCAAUGUCAAUAUAAUUUUUCUAUCAUCAAUUAGAGUAUUAAUAAUUGCUAAUUGAUUUGUAAGUGUAUUUAUCUUAUUGAUAUGAGCUAUAAGGUCAUUUUUUUUUUUUGUCUUUAUUGUUAAAACUUCUUCUUUGUUUAAAUUAUUUUAAUAAGGUUUCUACUUUCAUAGAUGUUGUAAAGAAUCUUCUAUGUUUUUGCUAGACCAUUUUAAGCAAUUAUAUGUGAAAAGUUGGCAUCAUCAAAGUUUAUUACAAUCAUCUCAAAAGGAUUUUUAAAAAAAUAUUUAUACUCUUUUAUCACCUUGACAUUAGUAUUGUCACUUGGAAGGUCUUCACUUUUAUCAACAAUGUCUUAAAGGUCUAAUGAAGCCAACAAAAGCUCUAGUUUUUUCUUCCAAUGGUAGAAAUCAUCACCUCUAAACUUUUGAAUUAUUUUCAAAUCUUCUACCUUAUUUAAAGCCAUGUUUAAAAAAUAAGUAUAUCAAAUAAAAUCAAAAAGAAAAUAGAGCUCUCAAAAUCAAUAAAAAGAUAUUAUUGCCUUAAAAAUCUAUAAUAUCUUCUUUGUGAGUUAUGAGUCAUCAAAUUGACUCACUAGUUGUUUUAGGAUAAAAAGAUGCAUUUAGAGUACAUAGAACCACAAUAUAUGGUGAAUAUUAUAGAAAUCUUUAGACAAAUUGAAAAUUAAAGUAUUAGUUGUAGAAUUGGAGUCUUAAUACGUCUUAGAGGUAAUUAUCUUAAUUGGUUUAGUAUUUUUUAAAAUUUAUUAUUGAAUAUUGAGAGAUAUUUAUUAAGUUAAAUAUUUAUAUUUUUCUUUUAUUUAUACAUAUUAUUUAUAAGAAAAAAUAUAAAUAUUAGUUAGUAGUUAAAAGAAGCAUGAGAAAGAACCUCAUAUCUUUUUAGUUAGUUAUAUAGAAAGUAGGAUUCAUAGUAGAUUUAGAUUGAUUUUAUUAUUAUAAAAAUCAUCAAUGUAGGAAAUUAUAACCUUCAAUUUAUAUUAGUAUUAUAGAACCAAUAUAGGAAUUUUUAUAAUUUAUUCAGAAUUUAUUUAGAAUGUUUUAGAGUAAUUUUCAAGACUUUGUUAAAAAUGAGUUUUAUUACUUCGGAAGCCAUUAUGAAGAAAGGGAUCAAGAUUUGAAGGCUACAAAAGGUUUACUGGCUAAUUAGAUGUUUUAAAAUAUCAUGGUGAAGUCAAAAAUACAAAAUUAUGGAUUUUACUAGUAGAAAAUAGGAGGACCAGUAGCUAGUGUAGUCAUUAUAAGAAGGGAGGUGCACAAGUCUCAUGUGGGUUGUAGCACGUUGAAGGUAGUUAGGAAGACAAGACUAAGGCCUUGUAGCCUCUCUUAGGAAUCCAUAUACAUUACUUGUGAGCUUUGGUGAGGCUUGAAUUCUGGAUCUCUUAAGCAAGUUAUCCUUGAGGUAAAAAUUAUUUAUUUAAUUUUUCAUUUAUUUACUUAUUAUUUUUAAACCUUUAUAACUUAUUCAUAAUAAUUCGGAUUUAUAUGUUUCUUACACCAUUAAAAAGAUAAAAAAAUUUAAUUUCUAAAAAUAUAUAUUUUUCUUUUUCUUUUUUUAUUUUUUACUAGAUAAAAAUUUAAUAAACAGACUAUGAUUAGUUUUGUGGUAUACAAUUGCUUGAUUGCACUUGUUUCACUUGUUUUUUGUAUUUUUUACUUUUGUCCUGAUUCUUGCUACUUCCACUUCUUACCACCAAUUACAAGAAACUCUUAAUUGAAGCCAUCUUGUAAUUUGGAUUGAGGAGUGAAUUUCACACUUACAUUUUGGUGCAUUUGCUGGGAGGUGGUGCCUCUAAUGGUGUGUGUGAAUGUGAAAUUGCCUGUUGUGAUUGAUCUUGCUUGAUUUUGUUGAGUAAGCAAUUUAACUUGGUUUUCAUCAUUGGUAAGAAUUCUACAUUUUUUUCUUAUUUGUGAAAAAAAAUUAUUUCAAAUUUUUACUUUAUAAGAUAGUCAAGGAUUUCAAUGUUGAAAUGAAUAUGGAUUGCUCUCGGAUUUUUAUCAAUCAGUUUUUAUGUGUUGCAUUUUUUGAGUUGAAUUUUUUUGGAGUUUUGUAUUGUAAUCUUUUCUUUUCAAAAAGCUAUUAUAUGCUCAAAUUGGAGUUUAUUUGAAUUUUAAGUGAAUUUUAGAUUAGAAAGAGAUUCACUGCUUUGGCAAUUUCAUGUACCCAUUGUUUGGAAAGGCAUUUCUUAAAGCCUGGUAAUUAUUUUAUUGUAUUUUUUUGAAAGAUAAGCACCUUGAAGUUAAGGUUGUGGUGUUGAAAAAUUCAAUGGUAUUGAAUCAAAAUUGAAUUUUUGGCGAUUAUUGGAGUGGAAAGAGAUUGUUGUCAUAAACAGAAUAUAAUUGAUGUUAGUGAUUUCUAUCUCUUCUAUCAUUUAUAUUUUGGAUUUUAUGUUAUAUUUUAAAAAAAAAAUUAAUUUUUUUUCUUAAUUAUAUUAAAUUAUAAUAAAAAAUAAAAAAUAAAUAAAGAAAUAAAAAAGAAUAAAUAUUAAAUUAAUAAUAAUAAUAAAUUAAAGAUAAAAUAGAAAUAAAAAUAAUAAAAUUGAAUUAAAAUAAAUAUUUAAUUAGUUAAUAAAAAACUAAAAUUAAUUAAUAAUUUUGAUUUACUUGUAAUUUUAAUUUUUACUUUUAUUUUUUAUUUUUAUUUUCUCUUAUAUUUUAUUUUUAUCUUUUUUAUUUUUAAUUUUUAUUCUUACUUUUAUUUACUAAUAUAUAUUUUUCUUUGAUUUGCAUGAUAAAUUUUAUGAAAUAAAAUAAAUUUAAUAUAUUUUUUAUUUCUUUAUUUAUUGAUUUUUUUAUACAAUAUUAUUAUUUCUGACUUUAAGUAAUAUUUGAUUAGUUUAUUGUUAGUGUUAGAAUUAUUUGGUGGUUUUUUUAAGUUGGUUAUUAGUUCAAAAAGCAUAUGAGGUGGAACUCGCCUUAAAAGUUUCAUCACUCCUCCUUGUAAUUUUUUCAGUUGAGAGACCUGCUCUAGUAGUAAGGAGAUUUAAUCACUUCCUCCACUCCUCAUAUCAAUUCUUUUCAUCUUUGUAAAUUUUCAAUUUAGGGCUUUUUUUCUAAUAUUAAGAAGAUUUUAUCAUUCUCUCCACCACUCGUAUCUUUUUUAUUUACAAAAAUAGUCUAGAAGAGCUUAAGAAGAAUUUGAGAGAAUUCUUCAUCAACAAAAGAAGAAAAAAUUCAAGAAGAAGGAAUAAGUAAAAAAAUUAGAUAAAAGGAAUUUAGAAAAAUGGAGAAAAGAAGAAGAAAAGAAGAAGAAAAGAAAAAGAGUGAAGACCAACGAGCUCAAAUUAUAAUCCAAGGUGAGUAUCUUUUGAAUAAAUUUUAUUUAAUUUUAAAUUUAUUUUGCUUACACAAAUUGUGGUUUGAUUUUUAUCAAGAAAAUAGGAAUCUUAAUUCAUCAAAAAGACAAGAACUAUUCUUUACAAGAUUUUUAAUUCUACUAAAAUAUUAUCUCUCUUUCUUAUUAGAAAUAAUGAAUAAAAUAAAAUAAAAAACCUUACUUUAUAGGAUUUAGAAAUAACUUGGAAUUGAUUAGCAUCCUUGGAUUGCUACGCAGUUGGCUACAAAAGUAGUUAUGAAAGAGAUGGCCUAGGUUCAAAUUUGGUCUACAAAGGCAGCUAUCCAUAUGAACUAGUUUAGAGCAAGAAAGUGGCUAACUUGUGCAACUUAGAGGAUAUGUAGGUCUUAUAGCUAAUAUUUGAAUCUAAUAAUCGAGACAUAUUUGAUCUAAUCAUUCAAUUAAUCUUCAAAAUCUUCAUACUCACUAAAGACUAUAUUAAAAAAAUACUGAUAUUUUAAAAAUUUUAAAUAUCCUUAGAAUAUUUAAAGAUACUUUGUCAUGUAUAUCUAAGAAGCAAAUUCUCAAAAAUUUAAUCCAAUUUGCAUCGAUUAAAGAAUAUUUUAUAUCUUGAAUUCUUAUAGUUGUAGCUCAAAAACAAGAAUCAAAUGUGAUAAGGAUAAAGAAUAUGAAAAUUGAUUGAAGCAAGUAGAAUAUGGUAGUAUCAAAAUAAAUAUGACUACAAAAUAUAUUAUGUGUUCAUUUCUUAUGGCUUAAAAAUUGAGAAGUCGUUGGCUUUGGUAUGUGAAUAUUACAUAUGUAUUUCAUAACCAUACAACUACAACAACUAUAAACAUUAGAGAUCAUUCAAGGGCUAGAAUGUAUUAAAAGAAGAAUAUUAUUCGAUAAAAAAUUAUAUUGCUACUACAGUUCUACCAAAAACAUCCUCAUACUAUUGACUUAGAAUAAAACAACAACAAAGGUGACUAUAGGAUAUUGCCAAUAUUACAGCUAAAUCAUGUUGUCAAAAACUUAAAGGAUAAAAACCAGUUGAGACACUUUUAGACAUAUUAAAAUAUAAUAGAUGCAUUUAUUACUAUCAUAUAGAUCAUAAAAAUUAUUUUUCUUAUCUAUCUUGGACUUUUUAAAAUACUAUAUAGAAAAUUCAAUUAUAUCUAAUAAUAUUUAUGUUGGACUCAAUAUACUAAAUUAAUCAAUUUAAUAUGCCAAUACUCUAUACUUUUGAUAUAAAAAGCAUAUAAAUUAAAAAUUAUAACAUUUUAAUGUAAGUUGAAAUAGAAGACAACUACCAACAGACAUUAAAGAAUAUAAAAAAGAUAUUAGAAUAAUUGCUACUUAAAGUUUUUUAACUAAUUAAGAGCUUGCUCUAAAAAAUGUUAUAAUAGUUGAGUGUCUUAUUCAAUGAUAAUUAUUUGACAUAUCAACAAUAAUAGUGAAGCCAAACAUAAGUAUUUUAUUUUAUUUUAUUUUAUUUUUUUGAAACAAACAAAGAUAAAAUAACUUCUUUAAAGAAUAGACAAUUUUAUAUUAUAUGGUAAUUUUUUUAUAUUUAAGACUUAAAAAUAAUAAAAUUAGAUAUCGUCUUACUCAAAAAUAUCAUUAAUACUUAAAUAUUACUUGGAUUUCAUUCAAAAAGAAGUUUGUGGUAGCUUAGACAAAUCAAUUUUGACAUUUAGACCACAUUGUAAUAUCUUAUACUAGAGAGUCUAUAAAUGCCUCAAAAUAUACUUUCAAAUACUUAUUGAAGUCAUAUUGAUAUAAAAUUAAAGAAUCUUAAAAUUAUAUAAGACUAAAUAUUUUCAAUUUAUUAUAUAAAUUUUAUAAGAACAACUCAAAUUAACAUCAAAUAUUAAAUUAUCUUUUAUGCAAUGAUUUAUAUGAAAGUGUUGUAUUAUAAAUUGAAUAAAAUAUUUACGAAGUAUUAUCAAGAAUAAUACUUAUCAAUAUCUAAAUUAAUAGAAAAAAGAACCAUUUUAAGAAAUUAUCUAAAAUAUAUUAGAGAUUUUUUUCUAAUAUUUUAUUAAAAAAUAAAUUAAAAUUAGAAAAAUAUCUACAAUGAAUUAUUUUUAAGAGAAUUAAAAACUAAAAUAGCAAUAUAAAAUAUUUAUCUUGCAUAUCAAAGUAAAAUCACUAAAAACAUUAACUUAUCUUGCAACAAAACUUGAAACUAUAAUUCAAAUUAAAACACUCUACGAAGGUGAUGUAGUAAAAAUUUAAUUCUAAAAAAAUUAAAAAAAUGAAAUCAAUAAAGAUUUUGUCUUGAUUUAAAACCUUUUGAUGAUAAUACUUAAUAAAAAGAAAUUAAAAGAAGUAAAGAAGCCUCUUAAAAGCUCUAGCUCAAGCCAAAUAAAUCCAUCUAUCCUUUAGAUUAAUAAAAAAAUCAUAUUAAAGAAAAGAAAACGUAGCAAUUUAAAAAAAAAUAUUAUUGACUUUAAUGCAUGAUUUUAUUCAUAAUUUCUUCUUUUAAUAAAACAAAUUAUGCCCAAAAAAAUAUUAAAGAAGAAAACAUUGUAAUUGUAAAUAUAUGAUUGUAAUUAUAAAUGUGAAGUAAUCUUUAUCUAUUUUGAAAAAACCAAAUGAACUAAAAAUAUACAUUGAUUAUAAAAAUAUUCUUUAUUAUUAUAAAUAAUAAUUUUUUAAUAAGCCUAUUUUAUUAGAAAAGCCUUUUUAUUCUCAUAAUUAAUCAUGGUAGCUAUUAAUGUAGCUAUAUUGAAUAUUUGGCAAUUUAACAUCAAAAUUAUCAUCAUCAAUAAAAACUUCAUAGUCCUCUUCAUUAACAAAUUCAUAAUUGAAUUAAAAUUUGUUAUGAUAUUUUUAUUUUAUUUACACUUUAAUUAUAUAUUUGACGUUGCUAUUCCAAAGCUUGUAGCACAAUGUAAGAGACUAACAUUUUGUAGUUUUGCCAUCCCAAUUAAUAUCUUUUUUAUAUAAUAUUCAAAAUUGAGAUACAAUUAGCUCACUAUAACUUUACUUCUAUUGUAAAUUAUAAAAGAUAACUUCAAAGAUAACUUUUAGCUCCAUAGUCCUUAUUGUAAUUAAAAAAAACUUGUUUUCCAACAUAUUGUCGUCUUUGACAAUUGUGCUCCUUAUUUUGUGGUUGCAUUGCUACUUUGAACAAUGUUGAAUAAUUGUCAUGGAUAUAUAUCUAUUUUAAUUAUUAAUUAAGUAAUAUAAAUAGGUAGAAGUAGAUAAAAAUAGAUUAAUUUCAUAAUACCAUCUAGAAAAGCUUUCUGAAUGCUUCCUAGAUGUUUUUUUUCUUUUACUUUACAUAUGUUUGUAGUUGAUUGAUAGGUUAAAAAAUUAGUCAAUAAGUUAAUUGUGUGCUACAUGUAUUGGUAGCUUCUAGAAUAAGCUAAUUAUGUGGCGUCUAUAUAGAAAACUUAUAUUGAAUGUUAAGAUAUGUGUCAUGCAAAGUCAAUAUGUUUUUGGAUAUCUUAUAGAAUAUUGCUACAUAGAUCCUAAGUAGAUAGUGUAUAUAAAGGCAAGAAUGAAGCCUUCUUUGCACUUGUCAAUUCUUUUCUUGCUUCUAGUUUAGUUUCAAGAGUAUCUAGUUUCCUUGUCUUUUGGCAAUAGCCAUUUUAAUUUCUUUUUUAAUAUACAUACUUCUCUAUUUCUAUAUUUUCAUAUUUCUUUGAAAGUAUCUUAAUUAUUUAUUGGCUUUCAAAAAGUUCUUGUCUUUGACAGAUUAAUAAGAAUGCUCUAACAAUAUUAGAGCUUUGUCUUUUUUUGAUUAACAAUGGAUUAUUUCUUUUUUUUUAUAAGACUUAAGUAUAUUAAAAAUUAUAAAUUAUCUUCUUCUAAAUUGAUAUUUUUUUAUUAUAUAUAUAUAUAUAUUAUUUUCAAGUCUUUUCUUCUAUUUAAUUUCAAAAAUAUUAAACAUCUUUCCUUCUUUAAUUAUUAUUAUGAUAGAGCUUCUUGAAAUAAAAAGUGCAAUGGUACAAAUGCAAGAGCUAUUGAGAGAAUUAAUGCUUACAAUGCAUCAACUUAAUUUAUUAUCACAAGGAAUAACAAAAUGGCAAGGUGUGAUAAUAUAGAAAUGAUUGGAGCUACUUCAACAUUUACACCAAAUCAUAUCUCUUCUCUUAUAGUAGAACAUCCUUCCAAUAUUAGAAAACCAAAAAAUGCAUUGCCUAAAAAUUUCGAGGAUUUAUUAAUCAAGUACAACUUGUAUUUGAACUUCAACUCCAAAGCUAUCCAACUCCAGGAUUGCAAGUUAGAUUCAUUGGUAUGCUCUUUCUUGGUUCAAUAUUAUUAUCAUUUUUAUCUUUUUUUAAACAACAAGAUUCAAUAUUAAAUAAUUUAGAGGCUUUUUUAGCAAAUUUUUGAUCUAUAUAUGGAGAACAUGAUACAAUUUGUGUUACAACCAAUAAGAUUUGUAUUUUACAACAAGGUAAUUGAUCAAUAAAGUUAUAUGCUUUACAAUUUGAAUAACUCACAACUAAUAUCAAGUGAGAUGAUACUGCACUUGUUAGCCAACUUUUCUAUAGAUUACAAUAUGAAAUAAAAAAAUUGAUGCUCAACUUAUUUGAUCCUCAAACAUUGAAUCAAGAAAUUGACUUUGCUGUGAGGUGUGACAAUUGAUUUUUUGAAUUUUAAUCUAAGAGUUCUAUAAGUGUACCUUGAAAUUAUUAUAAUUCAAUGACAAUGCCAAUGUCUUUUCAACACAUACAUUUAAAAGUAAAGGAUAUACAAAUUGAUGUAGUACACUUCAAACCUCUUAUUGAGUAAAAAAAGAUUUGUUGUUGUAAGAAAAGAUUGUACUUAUAUUAUGAAGAACCUAAGCACACUACUCAAUAUUGUACAAAAAAAAAACACAAUCACAAAAUUACAAGUACAGCUGUUGAAGAAGAUAGUAUGUUAGAAAACAAAUUUGUCCAUCUAUAAUAGGAACUAUGUAGCUAAAACCUUGUACAAUACCUAGUGAAGGUCCUAUUCUCUCUUCAAAACCGUCUCCUAGUUUUAUAAUAAAUGUUAUUUUGGAACCUAAACAUUAUAAAGCCUUUGCCUUAUUAGAUUCAGGAGUCUCAAUGUAUUUCUUAAAUGAAGAAUUUGCUAAAAGACAAAUAAUACCUUUAAUGAAGAAAACUAAUUUUUUUUAUAUAGAAAUCAUAUAUGGUCAUCUAUUAUCUUCAAAAAAUGCUACUUAUGAAAUCCUUCCUAUAGAAGUAACAACUAAUGGUCAUAGUAGCUUUCUAAUAUUUAAUAUCAUUAGAUCUUUCUUUCAUCUAAUUAUUUUAGGUUUAUCAUGGCUAAAAAAAUAUAAUUCAUAAAUAGAUUUGAUUUCUUGUAGCCUUCACUUUUUUAAAAGUAUAAUUAAGAAUAUAGUUGAUCAUAUAAAAAGUCAUAAGUCUAGUACAAUUAAAUCUGUAUUUGUAGGUACAAGAGCUUUCUUGCAUGUUGCAAAAUGAGGAUUAUCUUGUAUAAUUUAUAUUGUACUUAUUUCUAAUAGUGGAAAGACUUUAAGUGGCAUUCUAAGCUAAUAUUAAGAUUUUUAAGAUAUAUUUGAAAAAAAGAAUACGGAUAUUCUAUUAGAACAUCAUUCCUAUGAUUGCUCAAUUGACCUUCAAAAAAGAGUUCAACUGCCAAUUGGAUCAAUUUAUAGUUUAUUAAAAAAUCAAUAGGGUGAACUCAAGUAAUACAUUGAAGAAAAUCUGGCCAAGAAUUUUAUAUACCAUUCCAAAUCUCCAGUAUGAGCUCUAAUUUUAUUUAUGAAGAAAAAUGAUGAAUCAUUGUGGAUGUGUAUCAAUUGUCGAAAACUCAAUAAAAUCACCAUCAAGAAUAAGUACCUACUACCUUUAAUAUAUGGAUUUCAUAAUUAAUUGAAUCAAACUAAGAUCUAUUCAAAAAUAGAUCUACAAGGAGCAUAAAAUCUAAUAUGCAUCAAAAAAAGUAAUGAAUGAAAGACUGUAUUUUGAACAAGGUAUGGAUAUUUUGAAUAUAGUAUCAUGCUUUUUGGACUUACAAAUGUAUGAGCAACUUUCCAAUAUCUAAUGAAUGAUGUUUUUUGAGAGUUUUUAAAUAACUUUGUUAUUUAUUAUGUAAAUGACAUCUUAAUAUAUUCUAAGAACACAAAAGAAUAUAAACUCUGUAUUUUUUGUAUGUUACAAAAAAUAAAAGAUGCGUGAUUCUAUGCCAAAAUAAAAAAAACUAUAUAUUUUAUACCACUCAAGUUGACUUCUUAAGAUACAUCAUUUCAAAUGUUGGACUUAUGAUGGAUUCUAAGAAAGUUCAAAGUAUUAUGAUUUAAAAGAUCUCAAAAAUAGUAAAAGAUAUUUGAUGUUUUUUGGAAUUUUCCAACUACCAUUGAAUCUUUAUUGAGAAUUUCUUUCAAAUUGCAAUUUUAUUUAUAUGUUUGACUUAUAAAGAAAAAUUUCAAUAGAAUCAAAAAGCAAAAGUAAAAUUUGAAGCUUUGAAGAUAGAUUUUAUUUCUAUACUAAUCUUUUAUUGUGUCAAUUUUUUCAAGCGAUUUUUUUAUAGAAAUAGAUGCAUUGGACUUUACUUUGAAUGUCAUAUUGUAACAAAUGGAAAUAGAUGAUAAAUUUCAUCAAAUAGAUUUUUAUUUAAAAAAUAUUUUAAUGGCUAAGAUCAGUUAUAAGAUUUAUGACAAAAAACUUCUUAUAAUUAAAGAUUUGUUUCAAGAAUGACACCACUAUCUAGAAGGUGCUUCUAAUCCAAUCAUUGUUUAUAUACAAGAAUCUUGAAUACUUUAUGUCAAUACAUAUUUUGAAUUGCUACUAAGCUUGUUAGAAUAUGUCUUUGUCAAAAUUUGAUUUUAAGAUUACUUAUCCAUUUAGUUUUAUAUUAUGUAUCAUCUUGUUUGAAAAUGCACUGAGCAUCUGGGUGUGAAAGAUGAGCUUGUAUUUUACAAGUAUCCAAAAAUCUUAAUAUAUUUUAUCCUUAUAAGAAGAAUGCAAUUUUAAUUUUAAUUCAAAAGUUCUUAAAUCUAAUACAAAGUGCUAAAAAAUACUCUUCUUAGUAAUUUCAAGCAUAUAUAAACUCCAAUUGUCUUAUUACUUUCAUAAUUAGGUAAUUUUGAUUUUUUUUUGUAAGCCCUAGCCAUAAUUAGCAAGCUUUAGUAAAUUGUAGUUCCUAAUCUAACUAUCCAUUUAAAAAAAAUAUUUUGCAUAUAAAUGCCAUUAUAAGUCUUUUAUAUAUUCAAACAAAAUUUAUUCUAAUUCAACUUACAAAUUGUGAGAAAAUGCCCAAAAACCACACUAGUGUUACUUGGCUGUCAACUUGAAAGUUGAUACAAAUGUUCCAGUGGUGAUUUCUCCUUCUUCAUUCAUUAACUUCAAUUCAAAAUUGGUGUGUAGCUUGAUCUUUAAGUCUCCUAAUACUAUAACAAAUUUUACUUUGAUCCAACUAGUAGAUCUUUAGAUAUCAUAGAAACCCUAUUAAACUCUAAACUAUCAAUUUGUGAUACCUUCUUGUACCAAAACUUAGAUAUCUCUCAAUUGCACUAUUAAAUUAUUACAAAAUUUCACAUACACUUAGCUUAUUCAAUUAACCAAGCAUUGUCAUAUUUUGAACUAUAGAUGUAACACCAAUUUUAUGAAUUAGUCUUAAGUGCUAGCCCUAAUCGUAUUGCAUAGAUUCCAAGUUGCCAAUACAAAUCCUAAAUUUGAAUAAUAAUUGCUAAGUCAAAUCAAAUCUUACAAAAAUAAGCCUUAUGUCUCUAUAAGAAGCUCUAAUCUAGCUCUCUAAUUCUAAUCACCAAUCUUCAAA